rnacentral:lncRNA from 1 species
UUCUCUCAAGUGCUUGCAAGCACUGCAUAAGCACGAACAUGAUCAGAUAAAGCACUUCAGACCAAUGUUAUUGCAUUGAUUAUUAGGUCUUAAGAGCUUUUGGGUUACCCACUCAGCAGAAUCAAGGUACUCAAUGGCGAGGAGUCAGAAGAGGAGCAUGGGGAGUAGGCCGUGGUGGCUUCAGUAGCACGAGGCAUAGCUUCACAAAGAAGAAUUCUUGCAUUGCAUACUUUUCUAAAGUCAGAAAAAUCCAGUGUAUAUAGCAUGUUUAAAUAUGAAGAGUAUUUCAAAUCGAAGGUAUUACAAGAGCAGAAUCCUUGCAUGCUUUUCAAAAGUUAGAAAAAUUAACUAACAUAUUGUUCUUUGGCCAAAAUUUUCUGUGGCCAAAAUUGAUCCAAGUAAAUUUGGAACACCAACACAACAUUAGCAGUUGCAAACCUACAAAUCCACCAUAGCCUUUUUUAUAUAACUGCAGACGCUUGGUCUUUGUCAAACUUGAAAAAAAAAAGGCUUAAUCUCUAGCUCAUUAAGUUCAAAACUAACACUAAAACAGAAAAAAUACCAACUAUAAAAAUCAUUAAUUGUUCUUUCUUCAGCACUCAUGAUCUAGAGAGUCGCUUGGCAAAAUGGCUUAAAAACAAAAUAAAGUAGCGAAGCUUUUUACAAGUUGGCUAGGCUAUCUUGUUGGUUCUUUACAAGUUGUUGACUAUGUAAUUCCACCAUGGCGUUCUGUCAAAGGUAAGCAUGAACGUUUCAUCUUCUAUUUCUGAAGAUUAAAUGGGGCUACCACUUGACAAUGAAGCCACUCUUAGGUCUUCUGUUUCCAGUUGUCCCUACACCGUAGGAGGGCAAAGAGGUACCGGCAUUCACAUCUCAGAAAGCAAGCAUCCUGACGUGAUUUCUUCCUUUUCCUGCAAGUAGAUGUCAAUAAAAUUUAUAUUUACAAAGGCCACAUCCCGUUUAACCUUUAGUACUUAAGUUUGAAUUUCUAUUCCAGUGCUCUAUGAUGAUUACUUGAAUAAAUGUUUCAUAAGCUCUAUGUUAUUACACACUGAUGGUUUUUUCCCGGUUUGUUGUGAUUUCUGACAUUUUAAGCCAUCCCAAUUCUUGCAGCCUAAGUGUAAUUGGACAAUUCACAUCUUAUAUUAAAGUGAUAUAGACUUAUUUUUACUCGUGGCAAUGCACGAGCAUAGACCUAGGGCAUAUUCUAAACACAAAGUUCUGAAAAUUAUGACUAUAUAUUACACCCGUCGUACAAUGCACUAUGACUAUGAUUCACUAUUUAUCAUAGAAACUAAUAUAAAAGCAUCUCAAAUAUCUUCCGGCAGAAGUACCAACAUCAUAGUUGAGACUCGAUCAAAAUUAACACACCAAGGUCAGCAAGUGAAAUAUGGUGAACAUCUGGGAAGGCGUGGAAUAUAGCGCACAAUCUUCUCCACCAGGAGGAUGUCGGGGACGCUGCCGUGAGGAGGUGCGGCAGGCACAGCGCCGCCGCCAAGGCCGCCGCCAAGGCCGACGGCGUGGAUGCGUGCAGACGCGCGGUGGCCGUCGCUGCCGCCACCGCGGACGUCGAGUGGUGGUGUGCCGGCGUGAAGUGCGCCAUCCCGGCGGCAGCGGCAGCAGCAAGUGGGCGAGGGCGGCGGUGGUGCUGCGAUGGGAAACCUGCCCAGACGAUGAGAAGACCCUGCCCGGAGGUGGCCAGGCGUGGCGACGGACAGAGGAGGUGCAACCGUGGGGAGGAAUGAGGGAGGGGCAGGAGGUGGCGGCGGACUGGAUCCAGGCACGACGCGGUGGCAAGGAGACCCACUUGGAUUGGUGGACUCAGUCCACCGAGUCCGUGGAGGUGGUGCAGUGUAUGGUCUAUGGUGAACCGCGUCCACAUGAAGGGGUACGAUCUCUAUCUAAUCCAAGCUGUUGGUUUUGGAUCUAAAGGCUCUAUCUCCGUCUUCUUCCUCCUAUCCAGGUUGACGGCGACCGCACGGUGGAGCCAUGAACGGUGCAUGGCCGGAGCUUCGCCGGAAAAUGAUAGGACGGUCUACGAGCGAUGGAUUUCAAUGAGAAACACAAAAAAAGAAAGAGGAAGCGGAGGAGAUCUCAAUUUGAGGGUUACAAUGAGUCGCAGUAGUGCAGCUCAACUGGAUCGUGUGUGCCACCGCCGCUUCUACCUCCUUCGCCUGGGGAUGUCGUACCUAUUUGGCUUGGUGCAUAAAUUGAGGGCGGCGGCGGAGACGAUAUUCACGUAAAGGAGAAGAGGAACACGAAACGCUAAUUCAGCGCAGAAAUCGCGGCGUGCGCUGGGGCGUGGUUCCCCUAGGGUGCGCGUAGGGUUCGAUCGAAAGGUCAGAGAUGGAGGCGCGAUCAUCGUAGGAGGCAAGGGGCGUCUCGGAGGGGGUCGAUUGGAUCAACGGUGUAGGUGAUUAGCGCGAGCGCGUUUGCAGGUAACGGAGGGACGCUAAGCGAUCGAGGGCGAACCGAAAGAGCGGAAGAUAAACGACGUACGACAUUUUGUGUCGGUUUUAGUUUUUUUUAGCUGUAGAGAUUAGUCGCCUGAUUCUUUGAUCAACUCGACACAAGCGUCGCUGGUCUCUGCACACUUCGCCCUGGCUCCUGCUACCCUCGAUCCUGUAUCUGUGCCCCAAAAAAAAUGGUCAAUGAGAGCAAACAAUUGCGAAAGAAUGGCAGGAUGCCAGGAUGUGUCCGACAAGAUCGCUGAAAUUCCCGCUCGGCUCGCCUGAUGUCUCGUGUCGGCGCGCUCGCAAGUCGCAAUUCACAAACACGUGUGGAAACAUGAGCUUCACAAGGAAUGUAGUGUACCAUUCCUUCCACGUCGCUCGGCCCUGGGGCCGUCAAGUCGCGCCCGUUCCUCCCGUUUCCCGUCUCCGGCGACCAUGUCGGAGGCGUAUGGCCAAGAGAGAAACAGCCAGGCAGGCACGACGCAAUCGCGUCAGGGAAAAGAGAGAGUCCCCGCCGCCGAACUCUCUGUCGCCUCACGAUGCUGGCCUGAUAUCCGUGAAAAUGGUGGACACUGUUGUUAUCUUCCUUUUGGGUGGACAAUGGGCACCGCUGUUAGGCAAAAUCCAAAGAUCAGGCUGGAGAGGAAGAAUGAAACUGGAGACCGCAACGAAUGAAACUGGAGACUGCAACGUCGUACGUACGGCUCCAGACAGAGAAGCAGACUGUGAAAGUCGCCGCUUUGUCUAGUGCAUACUGUAGCUGUCGACUAUCCCUUCGUCCUAUAAUAAAUGAUUUUAAAAUUUGUCCCAAAAUACUAACUUUUUUUCUAGUUUCUCCCCCCUCGAAGUGCAAUGAUUACAUCUUUACAGGGGUAUAUAUGUAAUUUCGCACUGAAAUCGAUCUCUUCACACAAACUCUAGAAGUGCAUUUAUUUUGGGAUGGAGGGAGCGGUAACUUUCGGCUACAGGCCUACAGCCUUGCCUAGUACUCCCUCCGUCCCAAUUUAAGUGCAAUUGUAACAUUAAAAAAAGUUCCAAAUUAAACGCUACAAUAGUACAUACUCCUAGGUGCUCACCGUUCAUUGUUAGUCUGGGCACCUAUGCAUGUAGGCCCAUUUGUCAAAAAAAAAAAUCUGAAGCUCCUAGCGAGUUGGCCAUCCUCCGCCUAAUCUGAAAAGUUCUCGGUCCUUCCCACCGCUCGUUCCAGCUUCUUCCCCACCGCUCGCAUCGCGCUGCCUCGAUUCUUGCCUCGCAUCCAUCACACCGGCCCCCGGCGACACCUCAACGCUCCCUCCCCUCUCCUUCUGCGUGUGUUCUAGAUUUCCUCUCCCCUCAGAAAUCCUUCCAUCCGCGCAUUUUCCACAUACCCUAUCCCCAUCCAGUGCUCCUCCACCUCGCGUUCAUGGCCCACGGCAGUAGGUGCCCACGGUGGGAGGAAGGGGGAUGACAACAUCGUCAUGAAGCCAGGUAGCCGCAUCUACGGAGAGUGGAUCUACGUGCGCGGCCACCGAAUCAGACGGAGUGAUCGCAUGAGGUUAUGGUGCCUGCCUUCUUCAACCCCUAGUUCAUUUGCCGUUGCUUGAUGUGUGAUAAUAAAAUGAUUUUGAUUGGGAUAAUGGACAUCUACUAUGUGUGAUGGUGAAUAUUUAUGUGCUCCAAUAAAUAUUUAUCUGUGCUAAUGAAUGUUUAUGUUUAUCUGUGAGGCUGUAAGCUACUGCAGGUUGUAAGCUAAAGUUGUUAUGAUAUGUUUAUACCUUCUAUUAAGUAAUUAUUUGAUAUAUCAUCUACCAGCCCACUGGAAUCAUGAGGGGCAUGCUACUACAUGAAAGCGAUGGACUAAAAGAGGUUAUGUGCAACAUUAAUCCCUAUUGUUGUUCAGUUAAUUCACACUUUUAUUUCUCAUGUCUAAGUUUGUAGUAUAAGGUAAAUUAUUCCUAGUUGCUGACUAACACAAGAUUCUAUCUAACUUAGUUAGCAAUUUCCUUCUCAGAACUGCCCAAAGUCAAGUUCUCACAGUAGUGGUUUAUACAGCAGUAGCAAUACAAUUAGUUACUUAAAGACUCCAUCAUAUUCUCAUAUAGCUAGCGGUGAACACUAAGGCUUUUAGGCAGCAUUCCUAGUGCCUCAAACCUAUCUUUGUUCAUGUGAGGAAUCUUGUAUCUGUUUUCACCACCAUCUUUCAUCACCUCAAUCAAACAACCUUUUAGUGUUAGGAAAACCCUAUUCAAAGCGGAUGGGUCGUAUUCAUCAAAUUCUUUUUGUACAUUCUCAAUCAGCUCAUCCAUAUUCCUAGAGGUCGUACUGUAGGCUAAUGAUUGAAGAGAAGCAAAGAAUCCUAGGUCUAGUGCAUUCAUAUCCGAGGAAUUGGGAGGUUGGUUGAUGAUUUGUAUGUUCAGACCUGUCUGUGUUACAACAGCAGCAAAGUGUUCAUCAUACACAAGCACGUGAGAAGGGGCAUUAUCUUGCUGGAUCCAAAUGGUCUUUCCUGCAUCUUCUCGAGGCCAUCGUGCAACAAUAGCUGGUAGAACUUUAACAAUUAUAUACAACCUCAUAAUAUCUCGAUCUACCUUGAUAGACUUGGUGACUAGGGUUCCCCUUCCUCUGUUAUGGCUUCUUCUUUUUGCUGGUUCCUAUAUGAAAUGAAUUGAAGUUAGGAUCACAAAUGAGUACCACAAACUAAUGUAAGAAAGUGAAACAAGUGUGGUACCUUUCUGAUAAACGCCCACACUCCUAUCUUUCCAUCAAAAGUACAAUUACCUUUAUCAUCAUAUCUAGGUCUGGCCACUGCCGUCAGGAACAUGACUUUGCUAAUAGAAUUCUUAUUUUGCACGGUCCUAUACAGUUCCUCCUCUCCUGGGAGCAAAUAGUAGUUCCUGUCUUUUUUUGUGGUGUAGUACCACUUCUCGUCUAGGUGGAUGAUGUUUUCCAUUUCAAUGAACUUAGGUUCAUUUGGCAAUGUCCUUUGAUCUUACAUGAAAAUACAUCAUCGCAGCCUCUCUUUCUUGUUUGCUUCUGUCAAUAGAGGCUUUAGUGUGUUAGAGUGGCGUCGUAGUUGCCCUUGCUUGAACCACCUAUGUAGAGUGCUCUUCGUUACACCAAUGGCUGCAGCUAGAGAUCGUAUAAUAGUCCUCUUGCGUAAGAGAACACUAAGAACCUCAGAUAGAUCAGCUUGUAUUUUUUUGCGGCUACAGUUCUUAGGCUUCCUUGAACUAACAUCCACUGGUCUUCCUUGUGCACGACACUCCUUCACUCUCCGCCAAACACGUUGCACUUGAUACCUACUAACUUGUAAUAUUUCAGCAACUCUAGUUGUAGUGUUCCUUUUCAGACCCAUAUAUCAUGCAUGGCAAGUGGGCUGACUGCACCAGGCCUCCAAAAUUUUGAGGCCCCCAUGUUCAACAAGUACAACAAGAGUACAUGACCUGACCUCCCUCUGGUGGCCUUUGUUCAUGCGACUUUUGGCCUGGAGAUUCUGUUGUCGGUCCGUCCGAUUAGUAAGUCUGGCCUGCCGAUUAGAAUUCUAAUCGCUAGAUCGCGUGAGCGUCGAGGAAGUAGGAACCGCGCUUCUCGCCUUCGCCUCAGCGCCGUCGGCCACCGCAAUCGCGCCAAGUCGCCGAGUGCUCGAGUCAAUUAGAAUCAAUUAUUUUCUAUCCAUUGUUGAUCAAGCUAUUGUUUCACUUACAAAGAGGUUCGAACAAUACCAGGGGUAUGAAAAAACUUUUGGUUUUUUGUUUACUUCAAAGAAAUUAUGCUCCUUAGAUGACAAGAGUCUGUUGUCUUCUUGUGCUCGUCUUGAGGCUGCACUUAAGAGUGGUGACCAUUCUGAUAUUGAUGGCAAAGAAUUACAUGUGGAGUUAAAGUUUCUCCAAGAUUUCAUUCCAAAGGAAGACAUGGGCCCUCUUGAUAUUCGAAGUUUGUGAAAUGGAUGGUCUGUUUUCCUAAUGCCCUUGUUGCAUACAAAGUUUUGUUAACUAUUCCUGUAACAGUUGCAUCCGCAGAACGAAGCUUUUCCAAAUUGAAGUUGCUAAAGACCUACAUGCGCAGUACUAUGAAACAAGAAAGGCUAAAUGGAUUGGCGACAAUUACGCUUGAAAAUGAUGUUCUAGAGAAGAUUAAGUAUGAAGAUAUAAUUGAAGAUUUUAUUUCGAAGAAUACUAGAUGAAUGAUGCUUUUUAAUAGAAGCUAAGAAGUUAUCAGUAAGAUUCGUCAUUUAAUCAUUUUGUACGAAUUCUUAUGGUAUUACAUGAGGAAGUCUACGUGCACUUUGGCUAUUUGCAUUUUAUAAAUAUAGGCCCCACUUUAUGUUUUGCACCAGGGCCACAAAAACGUAGGUACGGGCCUGUUCCUUUUUAAUCUUCCAUGCAUACUUCUCUUGAGCAAUGCUGCAUAAUUUUCAUGCCUUCCAGUUUCUGUCAAAUUCCUGGACGGAUAUGAAAUAUUUUUAUUUGCAUGGUCAUGUUCAAAAUCUGAGUCUUCUAAUUCAUCUUCAUAAAGGCUACGUCUGCAGUAUCAGCAUCCACACCAUAGUCUUGCAUGUACUCGAUCAUGUCUGCAUAAAAAAAGUGAUAAGUUCUUCUACCUAAUACUGUAGCCCAAAGGUUACUUGUUUGACUCCUUUCUAAUGAAUGUGCCACAUUAUAAAAUGCUUGAUAGUCUUGGUGGACUGAUAUAAUUAAGAGAACAUAUUACCUUCACUUGGUUGUUGCAGCUCAGAAGGAUCAACAUUGAGAUCUAUUCCAUGCAUAGCAACCUGCUCAUCUUCAUGAAAGGCUACGUCUGCAGUAUCAGCAUCCACACCAUAGUCUUGCAUGUACUCCAUCAUGUCUACAAUGAAAAAAGGUGAUCAGUUCUUCAACUUAAUACUUACUUGUUGGACCCCUUUCUAAUGAAUGUGCCACAUUAUAAAAUGAUUGGUAGUUUUGGUGGACUCACAUUAUUAAGAGAACACAUUACCUUCAUUUGGUUGUUGCAGCUUAGAAGCAUCAACAUUGAGAUCUAUUCCAUGCAUAGCAACCUGCUCAUCUUCAUGGAGAAGAUGGGACUAAGCUUCUUCAAGCCGGUGAACUUCAUCUUGCAGGACAUGGACUUCAUCUGCUUGCUCAUCCAGUGGUUCUCCAUUUAGAUCAGGUAAGCAAUGUUCAGCUACUUCAUCUGGUAUUGUGUUUAGAUCAAUGACCAUGGUUGAUGGUGAAGUGGAUUGAUCAAUGGUCAUGGUUGAUGGUGAAGUGGAUUGCAGGCUGGAAUGGAUGAUUUGGAGCACGUGAUGUGCUUAUAUAGUGGGGCAGUGCUACUAUGGUGCACGGCGUUUAAAUUUUGAAUGUCUAUGUAAUGGCGCCACUUUUCUCUUUGUAAUGGUUCUAGACUGGUGUUAUUUUUCUCUUCUGGUAAAUUCUGGAGUGUAAACGUGGCACACAACUGGCUUACGUUUAUUUUGAUGCUGGAGUGUAAAUGUGGCACACAACUGGCUUUCAAGUUUGUUUUCAAAUUAUGCAAUCAUUAAUGCUACUUUGAGUCCAUCCAUAACCGGUAAUAAUGUCAUUUGCUAUCCCCUUCUUAAAAUGCACUAUAUUGGUACGGAGGGAGUACAUGGACACGCAUUGACUUGCUCAGAGUCAUUUUUUAUACAGUUUCUCCGAGUGCUCCCGUCAUCCCUCUCUAAUCAGAAAAACUGCGCCAAACUACCACCACACAAGUGUUCCACCUACUCCACGCCGGCAGGCGGGGCCCGAACAGAGAGGCAAACGCAUCACGGCAGGAAGAGAUGGAUCUCCCGGCCGCCGAGCCGAAGCGAGGAGGAAAAAGAAGCGGAGGCAGCAGCGCGAUGACGUCGCGGGGAGAGAGACCCGUGAGGUCACCACAGGGGGACGCCUUUUUGACGACUGACACGGCCUCUCUCGCCUGGCGACUGGCGAGCGCGCCAGGCCAUCGGUUGUCCGAGGAAUAGCCGCGUCGGCGUCGUCGGUCUCUGGCUGUUCUCUGCCGGGCUCCGCUGACAGCUGACAGGCAGGCCGCCCGCGCCGGGAGAAAGUUCCCUGCGCGGCCCCUUCCUUUUCAGAUCGAAAGGAGGGGCGUCAGGCACCCGCGGUUCCGGCGAGAUUCGAAUUCGAGUGCUGCCGGCCUGCCAUGGUCCUUGUGGGUUGUGGUGGUAUGUGGGCGAGGGUUUUGAGCCUCUACGUAUGGCUUCUUGAUAAUUGAUUCGUACGUAGUUGCGAGUGCAAAUCCAAUUGAAUGCUCGCUUUUCUUUGCGCGUUUCGAUCCGUCGCCAUCACCGAGAAUGUGUUGGCCCCCUUGAAUCGAACAAAGGUGUGACCUCGUGUCAUGUGAUCGGUGCCAACGAGAACCUAUACCUGGAGUUAGGAUUGGAUGCUCGGAGCAAGGUCCUAUGCAACAAUAAUUUCGUCACAGCAUGAUUCUUCUUCCUUGCAAGGAAACAACCCAUUUUUUUUUUAAAAAAAAGAAGGAAUCGCUGCUUGUGGUGGGUGGGUCACAGCUCACAACGUUUUUGUUUGCCAUAGGAUUUUACCACGAGUCAAAAAGCAGAAUGUGUCUCAAUAUACACCUUUCGAUUGGCUGUCCACUGCGUCAACGCAAGUUCCAAUGCGAUUUAUUGCUACUUCUUAAAUUCCCUUAAAAACGCCCAUAAAAUGUCGGUGUAUCCAGUGUGGAAAAAUAAAAUAGGCGCGGCCAGCGAAGCCAGCCAGCCACGACUCACGCGACCCGAACCCGACCCGUUUUUAACCCCGCCGGCCGGGGAAAUGGCCCGUCCCCCUCCAGGCCCUCCUCCCCUCUCCCUCUUCGUCGCCCCGGCCGAGAGGGGGGGCGCAAGCGCGACCCCCAAUUCCGCCGCCUCCGGCCGCCAUCGCCGCGGCCGGGGACCCCUCGUUGCCUCGGCUCGCCCAAUCCGAGCACGGACGCCGCGCGGUCCCUCCCUCCCUGCCCCGUCCUCCCUCCGCCGGACCCUCCACCCGACGCGGCGCGAGCGCGGGGCUCCCUGGUCCGUUGUUGCUCGUGACGGCGCCCGAAGCGCCGCUCCGCUCUCGGGAGUCUAGUGCUGACGGAGAUCCGUCGGGGGUCGGGACGAGCUCUUCCCGUGCUGGUAAGUAAUUGCUCCGAGUAAUUUCUCGUUCGCUCGCAUGGAUUCCUUUGCUCUUAUUUGGAGCAAUCGAACCCAGAUCCUUCGUUCUCUGCACUCGGUUCCUUGUGGACUUUGUGCUGCAUGGUAAACUACGGAUUAGAGUUGGGCGCACGAUUGGGUUGGUUGCGAGAUCGACAUUAAUUGUGCGUUCAUUUUCUACGUAAGUUUUGGGCGAAUUAGAGUUCCUAGUGAUUCCCCUAUCCCCGAUUGCCCCAGGUGAAAUUCUCCUUGAAUUUGGUAUUCCCGGAUUUUGUUCCUAGCGAUUCCCCUGUCCCAGAUUGUCAGUUGCAGUUUAAUUAUAGUUGUAGUCGAGUUUAUGUUCAGCUUAUUCCUAUUCUAGCUGUCUUCAGUAGGAGCUCCGCAUUUUUCUUUUCUUUUCUUUUUUUCUUUUUUGGGCACAUAACCUUUUGAUUUAUAGUUGGAUUUAUAUUUAAGCGGCAUAUAUUCAACCGGUCAAUUUCUGAACAUGGAUGACUUUGGCUUAUUUAUGUUAUUGAUUGAUAUUAGGAAGGUUUGUUAACAUCUCUUCGAGAUCUUCUGGUUUGUUUUUGUAGAAUUUCAAAUUUCAAGUGAAACUGUAUGUACUUGUUCUGUCUGCUGGUAAAUAUAUUUGUAGGGAUGCAAAACCCUCUGGUUUGGUACUCUCAGGACAUUUCGGUGUGGAAUCAGGGAAUAGAUGAAACGCUCAUAUCAUAUUAGAUUCUACUGUCUGUCAUUGGUCUGCUGACCAUACAUACCAAUACUGUCCUCAGUGACAAACAUCUCCAUGAGAUUGAAGAAUGAAAUAUCUGUCCCAUUUGUUAGGCUUAAACCUCCUCCUAAUAUGUUUUCUUGUUAACGUUAUUGGGUUAGUGUUACCUUCCUUAAAUCCUUAAGACCAUCUCAUAGCAAAUGCAUAAAUGUUUUCUGAACACGAAGAGGGAAAAAACAUCGACCAAGGAUGUUGAUAAUUUUAAUCCAUGCAUUUUGUGUGAUUCGGUGGAGGGCACAAUGUUGAGAAAUUUAUUUAUUGUUUUUCUACUGCCUACCAUGCUAUUAGUUGAUCCAGAAGUCUCCAUAUUCCAGUAUACUAGUGACUGUGUCGAUCUUAGAAGUAGAAUUUGUGGCCGUGGAACAUAUUUUGAUUUUGGUCCUGUGAAGUUUACUUACUUCUGUUUGUACAUAUUGUAUCUUUUGUUUAUUUAUUAAGCUGCUCUUGCAGGGGAAGCAGAUUCGCUAGAUAAUUCUUAUCAUGAUUGUAUUUGUGUUCCGUUACAGGAUUUUUGUUAAUAAUGGGAGAGAAUAAAUGGAUGGGCAAAAGAUGGGAGGACAUGGACACUGAUGUCCUUGUGAAGAUAUUCAAGGAAUUAAAUUUGGUUGAGUUGUCACCAGUUUCCCAAGUUUGUCGAUUGUGGCGUUUGGCCUGUUCAGAUCCACUUAUUUGGGGCACUCUUGACUUUGGAUUGCUAAAAUCCAAUUUUAUUCAGACAAGAGCAUCACCAUAUAUUUGGGUUGAUGAUAGGUCUGACAAGAGACUUGCAAGGAUACUACGGGUGGCUAUGGCAGUUAGCUGUGGGAAUGUCAACUGCAUGAUAUUCCAUUACAAUUUGUACAUGAAAGAUGAGCACCUUCAUUUCAUCUCGGAAAGGUAACAACUAACAAAACCCUUCAAGUUUCAUCAAUGCUGUAGUCCCACAGUCCUAUAUGUGUGUCAUACCUCACAUGUAACUUAUUAAUCCUGCAAGGAUUUUGAACACAAUAGUUGAACUACAUCUUAUGGCUUUCUGCACAGAUGAGUGCUUGUAGCUAGUUAGCGCAGCGGUGAUAUGAGUUCUGCAGUUAAAUCACACAUAAAUAUGAAUGUGUUAUCCAAAGUAGAUAUUCUAUUUUUCUAACUAUUCUUUCAUGCAUUUAUUGUGUUAGCAACUUUGGAUAGCUGCUAUGUCCCAGCCAUUCAAACUAGAAGGGGUCUAGGGAAUGCUGUUAGAGACUUAGAAUACUCUUAAAGUUGAGAAUCGACUCCUCUUUUUUUUUGGGUACAUUAAUCUUAUGAUUAUAUCUCGAGAAAACUCCUGAUGUUUGAGUUUUUGUGGUCUCUCACUUUGCGUUGAAGAGGCUAACACUAUAAUUUUGCCUGAUGUCUAGCAGGUCUCCUCACCUAAAACGAUUGGUUAUGCCAGCAUGGAACCGCAUCACCAAAGUGGGAAUAUGCCAAGCUAUCCAAAGGUGGCAAGAGCUGGAAUCCUUGACAAUGCCUACUAUCGGACAUCCUCCGUAUAUUAUGGAAGAGAUAGGCAGAAGCUGCAAGAAUUUCACAGAACUUAAGAUCAUGGGCUCAUUUGAUCACAAUUUUGCCUCUGCGAUCUCACAGUUCCUUCCAAAGCUGAAGGUUUUGAGCCUUCGUUGCUCGAAAGUGAACAUGGAUGCACUGCAAUCUUUACUGCACAAGAUGGAAUAUCUUGAGGUUCUGAAUAUUUCCCACUGCCUGCUGUUGGUCGUUGCGGCAAACGGGCGGAAGCAAGUGGUUCAUGAGCUGGAUGGCCAAAUUCUCGAGAGAGCUUCACGGCUGCGUGAAUUCCAUUAUUGCCAGAGCAGGUCAUGCAUCACAUGCCAACGGAUGGUGGUGGAUGAAGGCAUCAUGCGCUGGUACAGAUACGAGGAUUGGUUUUGGCGUCGAGAUGAGGUCAGGUCCCUUGAUCUGCAAGAUUAUGGGAAGCUCUUUGAUGCUGGUUGCGAGAGGAUGACGUCCGUGGAGUAGAUGGCUAGUCCGGGUAUAAAAUCCGCCUCAGUGUAGAAACCUGUUGAUCUGGCAUUCGUAAACCAUAACAUAGCAAGCACCGAGUUGUAACCGUAGAUAAAUAAUGUUGACAGUAAUGUCAGUGAAUGUGUAGCUUGUGCUGUAAAUCCAUGAAUAGUUCGUCAUGUUUGAAUGUGGUUGUGAUAUUCUCAAUGGUGACUGCAACAGUAGAGUUUUACCCUAUGCUUAUGAUGUUGCAUGGAUGCCAGCUGAUUGUACAUUGGUUUUAUGCAUGGAAGGCCUUUUGCUAGUUGGAAGCAACGAGUUCCGUGGUGGUUCUUUUACCUAGAAGUUCGGUCCCUUUUGGGCGCCUUGAAUUGUCGUUAGAAUUUUAUUCUAACGGUCAUUUUGAUCAGAACUGGGGCUGGUUUUACAAUUGAACGGCUUGUUCCGACUUUUUUGUUUUUUUGUCCUUUUCGCGAAAAAAUCUCACAAAUAGGUCCCUGGCGAAACCAAUUCCGAAAAUGGACCCUCAGCUUGGCGCCAGGAUGGCUGGCGUCAGGAUGGCUGGCGCCAAGGUAUAACGUCUUGGCGCCAGCCGUCCUGGCGCCAAGGUCCCUCCGCCGUGCCUCCGACGUGGCGCCGUGGACGCUGACGUGGCCCGAGGCUUGGCGCCAAGAUCCAUGGCGCCAAGCCCCCUACCACAUAUAACACCCCUUCUUCCUGCCCGAGAGUUCCUCCCUCGUUAUUCUCUACUCUCUCAGGUUUUUACUCUCCUUACUUUGCCCUAGACUACGAAUCGACAUUGUAGCUUAGGAAACUUUCAUUUGAUCCGUGGAUCCUGAAGAGCAAGGUAUCCUCUCUCCGUCGUACCUUUUUUUCACAUCGAUUCGUCUUGCAUUUUUGAACUUAGGGUUUCAUGCAAAUGUAGGAUGCCGAGGCGUGGAAAAGCUAAGAAACUAAGGUAAUCUCAACGCCCGUAGUUAUGUUAUGUACUCAUUGUUGUGGAUGAAAUGAAAAAACCUUAAUUGUAGGUUUAUUCUUAAGUGCGUUUGAUUCAUAGAACCAAAUAAACAAAAUUGUAGUUAUGGCGCAAAGAAGACCGGAAAUGCGUUCGAUCCAUUGCCUCUGCCAAGUGGUGUUCCAGUGCCGAUGUGCUUUUGCGGCGAUCCUUGCAAGGUAGCCAAGUCCGAAGAACAUGCCACGUAUAGGCAGAGGUAUUGGAUGUGUUCCAACUUUGCGUUUGAACCUACACUUCGUCAGCGCCGCAUUAACAUGUUGGUAAGGAAAUGUUGUUGUCUUAUAAUUAUUGUCCAUAAUUUUUUUGUUUUAUAACAAUUGCAUUUGUUGUAGACCCCUCCACCGCUAUGUGAUUUUGAGCAGUGGAUCGACACUGAGAUCGAUCCUGAAGACAAGGAGUUUUUGGAGUAUAUGAUGCGCUGGGAUGCAGAGAGGAAGGAGGUGUACGAGAAGAGGCUCGUAGAGGAGGCUGCGGAAAAGGAGCACAAGGAAGAGGAGGAAAGGAGGCGGGUUGCUGCGAAUAGGGAGGAGAGAGAGAAGAAGCUUGAGCGGGCACGCCGAGCGAAAGCAGCGGUUGAAGAGAAUCCCGAUGCCUUAAGGAAGAGAAAGUGGCCUCGUUGCACUCAGUAGCCAUAUUUAGGUUCUAGUUCUAUGGUUUAUUUACAAACAAUAUUUUCUACUGUGAGACUUUUAUUAUGUUGUCAUGUAAUAAUGCACUUUAAGUAAGGACACGCAAUUUGUAGACGAUAUAUGUUCAUUUUGCGAUGUAAUGCAUUUCGAAGUCGUAGUCUACUGAAAUAUCCGUAGAAAAUAAAAAUGGUACUUGUUAGCGAAAUUUCAGCAGAAUUUCCCCUACUUGUUGAUGCAAUCCAUACAAAAUUACGAGAUGAAUAGUGAAUAUAAAUACAAGCAUAGAAGCAUAGAAGCAUAUGACACAAGCAUAUGACACAUUCAGAAUAGAAUCCACAAUAGUUCAGAAUGAAAGUCCAUAUAUAUACAAAUAGUCCAUAUGAUACAAAGUUCGCAAUCAGAAUCGUCACUGCCUCCUAGUCUUACCCUUACCCUUGUGACCAAGGGCGUCGGUGCCUGGAGUGUAAGGAGAACGUGGACGACGUAAUCUAGUGCCCCCUACAACCUGUGUAGGCUGAGUCAAGGGAGCCUCCUGGAGCUGAGACGGGCCAAUCUCCUCGGCCCUCUGCUCAUCGUCGUCGUCAUCGUCGUCGUCGUCGACUUCCUCGGAUGCAAUUGAUUUGGAACCUGAGGGGCCUUGGCUGGACGUACCGACGCCUCCUUCGCGCAGGGAUGGAACGUGCACGUCUCGCGUCGUGGCAGUCCUGCAACCACAACGAGCAGCGGCACGGCGAAGCCGAUUUGACAAUCGCUGCAGUAGUAAAAACAAGUUACACAAAUGAAGAAUGUAACGUAUUAAUAAAGUAUUAGAAAGAAUAAUUUGAGACUUACCUCUAGGAAGCUCCCAAUCUCGGGGUCCCUAACUCGUGGACGGAUAUGCUCUAUAUCUCUAACCGAGCUUUGUAGGGUACGCCCCUGCAACAAAUGACUAAGUCACUAAAGCAAUAAAUGACUAAGUCACUAAAUGACUAAAUGAUUAAGUUAGAUGAUCACUAAGUCCUUAUCUAACUAACUAAAUCUGUAAGUAACUUAACAUAGAACAUAGAAAAGUGAAGCAAUUGUCUUACCAUCCUAUCCAGGAUUGGUCCUGCCUCCACCUGCCUUCCCGCACGAGUACUCUGAUCGUACACUGUGUCUUCAUCGUCGGAUGACUGGAUAUCGGCGUAGUCAUCUUGCGUCCACGCUUCCCUCAGCCUGUGCCGCGUCGCACCAUGGUACCAGCUCUGGUAUUGUCUGUACGCACUGUUUGUGUGCGGCUCGUUGUUCUCGUCCACGUUCUCCUCGAACAGGUCCCAUUCCUGAAUGUAUGCGUGGUGGAACGCGGCCCACUCGGAGACCUUCCUUUUCUUCUUUCGAUCCACGCUGCACGUCACGUUACACGUUACUGUUAGCCAAAAUUUAGUUAAUAGUAUUGAAAUAUAUGAAAUAGGAAAAGACUUACUUGUGUAACUCUAUACUAGUCGAGGUCGCCUGUGGUGGCCAAAUCUGCCUCAUCCCAAAUUGACGUGCGACUCGAUGUGGCAGGUGGUACUCGACAGCAUAGAAGCAAAUAAGAGGGCACACCAUCCUAUAAAUAUCAUCGUCCGUCGCACACAUGAAGCUAAGGGGAAAAGGAAGUGGAUCGUCUCCGUCGUAAGGCUGCCAAUUUACCUGCAAAAUUUGAACCAAAAACGUUAGUUGUUAUACUAAAAGAUUACAAAACAAUUCUAAAAAAAAUCACUUACACUAUGAGCAGUGAGCGCGUCUAUCUCGUUGAUGUAAUCAAGGUACGCGCGGUCCAACCUCGUAUGGCUAACCUUAACCUGAUCCCAAAUAUAUGCCCAUGUCGGCUGUCGUCUCGGCGGCUCACCUGGGAACCACGGUCGACGCGGCAUAAUCUCGGGCCGACCAACAGGAAGACGGGACCACAUCCAUAAUUGCAACAGGUAGACACACCCACCAACUGACGGGGAGCCCGUAGUCCGACGGCACGCCUCGCACAGCUGCCGGUAUAGAAAGCACAACACAGCUGAUCCCCAGCUGUAAAAACCAGCCUGGUGCCAGUCAGUGAGGCAGUGGAUCCACAUCCAAGACGCUGUGUCACCUGUAGCGUCUGGGAAAAGAACACAGGCAAAGAGGUGUAGUAUCCACGCCCUGCAGUAGUGCCCAACUGUCUCAACAUCCGCGUCCUGGGGACAGUGGCCGAAGUGUUCCCGCAGCCAUGAGAUUAGCACUCCAGAUGUGCGAGUCCCCUGCUCCUCAACCUCUCGCCUCAGGAAGGCUGCGACUCGUGCUCUCCAACCAUCUGAGACGCACGGCCCAUUGACUGGCUGGCCCCGAAUCGACAGACCCAGCAUCUUCUGACAGUCCUGUAAGGUCACUGUCAUCUCUCUGAACGGGAGGUGAAAGCUGUGAGUCUCGGGUCGCCACCUACAUUUCGCCAGAUUAUUAUUUGAUAACAUGUAAAGACAUAACAAAAUGAAUAUGAUUAGUGGUAACAGUACCUGUCAACCAACGCAGUUAUAGCCGCUGAAUUGAACUUGGGCAUCCCACGACGAACCUGAUACGAGAUGACAUCUAGGCCAGCCAUCUGUAGCAAAGGAGUGUAGCGGUCGUCGUACUGCAGCACCACAAACCCAUCAUGAGCUCUAGAACGAAGGAGCGGAAGGACCUGCAUGCAAAUAAACCGAGUCAGAGAUUUCAUAGGACACAAGACGUGGACGCUCGCAAAGCUUUAAUCAUGAAUUGUAAAUUAUUACCUGCCCUCCCGCUAUAAGACGACCUCGGUGGGUCUGGUCGUAAGCCUGGUCUAGAAGGUGGAAGUGCGCCAUCCUACAAAAAGGCAAAAAGAAAUAAGAUUAGUAAACAAUAAAUCAUGAAGUUAGAGAUGUAGAAACACAACCUGUAUGAAUAAAACACAUAUCAAGUAACGAAAAGAGCUACUAGUCGCACCUCACUAAUUUGCCAACGGCAAGUGCGUGAAUUAUGACCCAAUCUGCCGCACUUGCCGCACUCGUUCUGUUCUGGAUCAGCAAGAAAUGGUGUUGCUCUACCACGCCUCGUUCUUCCGGAUACCUGAUCCAUAGUCAUGUUAUGCCUCGUCCGCUUCCUUGUUCCACGUUUGUUCCAACGGUAUGCAGGAUCCGCAACAUAUUUUGGCCCAUCAUACGGAGGCCACUCUCUAGGAUCCCGGAAAGGCACGAAGCGGGGGCUCCAUGUCCGCACAAGGUUGCUUACGCUGAACUCAUGUGGUAUCAUGCUCUCGAUAUCAAAAUUGCGAUGCCUAGCUGCUGCCACCAAAUGAGAACAUACGAAGUGGUACUGCCUUGGCCUACCACAAGUGCACUUGAAAUCUCGGAGAACUACCAAAUGUAUCCUCGACUCUCGGAUCUCACCGUCGGACGUUGUACCGCCCCUAUGCUCCACCUGAUAAGUCCCUGAGCCGAGAUCAAAACAUUGCACCUCAUGUGUGGAAUCCCUUUCAUUUGCAAUGAUGAGAUGUCUCUUUGGUUUUUCAGCCCAUCUCUCCCCAGCAACCUGCAACGCUUCUGCUUUUGCGUGUCUUUCAUUGAACCACGCAACAAGCCUGUAGAAGGUGAAUUCAACGAUUGCGUUCACAGGCAUACCACGUAUCCCCAAUAACAACUUAUUGAAUGACUCGGCCAUGUUACUGCACUGAAACUCGUACCUCCAACCACCGGCGUCGUGAGAUCUAGUCCACUUAUCUAAAUCUCUCAUCAAACCAGCGAGCCAUUGUCGACCUUCUGCAUUUGUUGCGGUCCUUACCUGCUCCAAUUUGCGCUGAAAGUAAUAGUCCUCAAGCUGACGUGCUGCAACUUGAAACAGAUCAAAAUUAUCCUUCACACCAUCCUUCCGAAGAAGGUUCUCCGCAAGGUGCCGAGUGCACCAACGAUGAUGCAAAGGUGCAUAACCCUCUAUCUGUUCUUGCACAGCAUGAAGUAUGCCCUGAUGCCUAUCGGAUAUGACGCCAACCUCCCUACCAGGACCAACCACAUGUAUCCGGACUAGUCUUAAGAACCACCCCCAACUGUCAUUGUUCUCCCUCUCAACCAAUGCAAAUGCCAAAGGAACCAACAUAUUGUUCGUGUCACAAGAUAUGGCUAUAAGAAGUGUGCCUCUAUAUUUGCCAAUCAAAAACGUACCAUCAAUAGAGAAAACAGGACGACAGUGCCUAAAGGCUUCCACAGACUGAGGGAAGCACCAGAACGCACGCCCGAAUAUCUGUCUCCCGUCCUUCCAAGCAUUUGGCUUUGGGAUGUACUCAUAAUGCAUGCCUGGAUUCACCGCUUUAAUUGCAUUAAAAAGCACUGGCAGCUCCUCGUAUCCAGACUCCCAAUCCCCAUAAAUCAUCCUCCACGCUCGCUGCUUAGCCCUCCAAGCUUUACCAUAAGUUAUCACAUAUCCUCCAUAAAUCUCCUCAGCAGUUCUUAUAAUUGUUCUCACUUUCAUGUUCGGUUGUUCCUUCAAUAUUCCCAUCAACCGCUUCGCAAUGAGGGUAGAUGUUAGCUGCGGAUGUCUCACUGUAAGCUCAUGGUCAGCACAAUUGUGUGGACCGACAACUUUUGUGAUCUUCCACUUCCCGGUGAUAUUUUGCUUUCUUGCACAAACCCUCCAUGGACACCGUUCCUUGUCACACACAACUGUGUAACGGCGCUCCGCAUAUGAAUGCAACACUUUGUACGGUCUCUUCCGUAUCACCGCAAAAGCUUGCAACCAUCUCUUCAAUGCGGGAAGAUCCUUAAAUACCCUACCCUCCUCAAUAACCAUAUUAGGACCAGCUUCAGGAGCUUCUAGGAGCUCAUCAUCACGUCCUUCUGCAAACGCCUGAUCGGAAAGACUCAGGUCGCUAAACUCGUUAACUAUCGGAUCACGACGUCCGGGGAAUAUACGCCUGAACAUCUCAAUAUCACUCUCUGUCAUCUCUCCAACAGGACGAUCAUCAUCAGAAUCAAGAUCCACUCCCAUCUCGUAUGCAUCUUCAUCAUUCAAAAUUUCAACACUAUUAGAGCCACGCAAUCCAUCUCCACAUUGCACUUGCGCAUCAACUAGAGGCACAUCCACAUUUUCUGGAAUAUCUCCUGCGCCAUCAAGUACAAAUAUGAGUAAAGAAUAAGUGGAUGGAACAAAUGGAUUAUCUCUCAUCAAUAGAAACCGGUUAGACACUUACUCGGAUCAUUCUGAGUGAAAAGAAACUCAUUAGGAGAGUCCGCCACAUCAUCAACAAUCCGACAACCAUGGCCAACUACUUCAUUAGGGGCAGAUUCAGCAUUGGGAAUAGUAGGUGCAACAUCCACAUCCAUAACAGGUUCUGGGACGGGAGGAUCGAAAUGUGCCCGUUCACCCAUUGGUCGGGAAAACCGACGAGGAUUUCGAUCAACUCUCACCGGACGAACAACCACUUCAACACUUGGGAAAUGACCAUUCAUAACCGUCCUCACAUAUUUCUCCCACUGACCUGCACACCGAAUUGGGACCAUCUUCCUUUGAAUGUUGAGAGGGGAACCUAGGUGAAGUAUGCCCUCGACUGUGAUUUCAUCAUUUUCAUGACAAUGUAACUCCUCCCGAGCCCUAGCAACCAACUCACUAAACGAUGGUUUCUCAUCGAAUAUGACAACCUCGCACUGCAUGCCAACAAACUUAACACAUCCAUAUUCAUCCCUUUCCACAGUGCCUCCGUAAUAUAUGCUCACUACGUUCUCCAUCUAGUAUAUCAAUAUAAUGACGCACAAUUCAUUUAGUCCAUAAUAAAUUAAACAUUCUAAGUCUAGUAUGAAAUCAGAUAGUAUCAAUUGACUACUAACUAGUAAAUACAACUAACUAACUAUGUCACAUAUACUAACUAACUAUGUCACCUAAUAUGUACAUACGUACUUACCUAUACAACUACUUAACUAAAUAUCGUAAUAACUAGUUUACUAUGCUAUAAGUUAUCAUAUCUAACAAUUAUAUCUAUCUGUCAACUUAUCUAUCUACCUAUUUUAUCUAACAAUUCUACCUACCUAUCUAAAUUUUACCUAACUACUAUGCUAUUAGUUAUCAUAUCUAACAAUUAUAUCUAUCUGUCAACUUAUCUAUCUACCUAUUUUAUCUAACAAUUCUACCUACCUAUCUAAAUUUUACCUAACUAUUCUAAUUUAUCAAUAUUACUAUCUAUCUACAUUAUACAACAAUUAUACAACAACUAAUACCUUCGAUCGGCCGGGAGCGGGCACACAACGGGGGGCGGCCGGCCACAGUCCACGGCGGGCGCUGGAGCCCGGCCGGGGGGCACCGGCGAGCGGGGAGCCCGGCCGGGGGGCGGCCCUCCGGGCGGGGCGGCCGGGCGGGCGCGCGGGGCCGCCGGGCGGGCGCCGGGCGGGCGCCGGGCGGGGCGCCGGGGCCGCCGGGAGGGGCGGCACGUCGGGCGGGCGCCGGGAGGGGCGCCGGGGCCGCCGGGCGGGGCGGCGCGUCGGGCGGGCGCCGGGGCCGCCGGGAGGGGCGGCGUGUCGGGCGGGCGCCGGGCGGGGCGGCGCGGUGGACGACUACGGAGCGGGCGGGCCGGCACGAGAUGUGAGCGAGAUGCAAAAUCAAACGGCGCAAAAGGAAGGGGGCCCGUUAUGGUUGAAGGCUUGGCGCCACAGAUCUUAGCGCCGAGGCCUGGCGCCGAGCCUUGGCGCCACAGAUCUUGGCGCCGAGGCUCGGCGCCAUGGAUCUUGGCGCCAAGCCUCGGGCCACGUCAGCGUCCACGGCGCCACGUCGGAGGCACGGCGGAGGGACCUUGGCGCCAGGACGGCUGGCGCCAAAACGUUAUACCUUGGCGCCAGCCAUCCUGGCGCCAAGCUGAGGGUCCAUUUUCGGAAUUGGUUUCGCCAGGGGUCUAUUUGUGAGAUUUUUUCGCGGAAUUGGUUCCAUGUUUUUCCCUAUCUCCAGGGGGUGUUUGGAUACUAUAUGUUAAAUUUUAGCAGUGUCACAUUGGAUGUUCGGAUACUACUAAUGAGGAGUAAACAUGAGCUAAUUAUAAAACUAAUUGCAGAACCCCUAUACUAGUUCAUGAGACGAAUCUAUUAAGCCUAAUUAAUCCAUCAUUAGCAAAUGGUUACUGUAGCACCACAUUGUCAAAUCAUGGACUAAUUAGGCUUAAUAGAUUUGUCUCGCGAAUUAGACUCCAUCUGUGCAAUUAGUUUUGUAAUUAGCUUAUAUUUAAUAAGCCUAAUUAGCAUCCAACGUCCGAUCAAACGGGACCCUAGUUAUCGUCUGAGGUUAUAUAAAUUUUUUGUAGCUGAUUGAAAAUUUGAAAUUAUUGAUUGAUGAUUCCCCUUGUUGUUAGCAACAUCAUCAAUAAUAGGCCAAGAAACAAAUAGAUAGCAUCACUCCUUUUCAAAAGCAGCCACUCGUUGUUAGCAACAUCGUCAAUGAAUUAGUGAGGUGGCCAAGUCGUUAUCGUUAUCAAUAAGCUAAGUGCAUCCGCACACGGCACACUUAAAUAAUAGGCAUAUCUAAAACGUGUUUGACAUUUUUCUAAGGAGGUUCGACAAGUACAAAAGUAUUCCCUCCGUCCCAAAUUACUAUUCAUUUUGACUUUUCUAGAUAUAAAUUUUUUACUGCGUAUCUUGACAUAAUAUAUAUAGGUGCAUAGUAAAAGUUAUAUAUCUAAAAAGUCAAAAUAAUAGUAAUUUGGGAUGGAGGGAGUAUUGACUAAAGGGGCAACGUUUAGUCGAUAUGUGUAUAUGGCGAAAGCAAAGCAUUCAGUUUUCAUGACUGAAGUACUUGACAUCGGUGUGCUCCCAACCCUUGUGAUAAUUGAAUAUGCUGAGCAUAUGUGACAUAACAUGAUAUCUAAAGUACUUUAUUUCUCCUUGUCUAUCCUUUGGAUGUAGUGCUUUUUGUAAGAGGUCAACGGUGGAAUGAGCUUAGCGUUCCCACCUGAGAUUUAAUGAUAAAAAAAACUCAAAGUAAAAUUGGCAAAAGUUUACGCAACGGUUUUGAAUACUUGCUCUAACAUCAGAAAAGUUGUGUUGUGACAACUGACAAGGAAUGGAGGUAUAAAGAGAGAUGGGAGAGCAAAUGCAUUUUUUUUUAUCCGAUUAGCAUGUCAUGACUCAUGAUGUGGUGUGUAAUGACGUGCAUGCAAAUGAUUCAAUUCAACAAGCGCCAGCCCGAGCUCACAGUAUUCAUCUUCUUCCACGCGCAUCGCCACACUCACAGCGGACACACAAACGAUGCGCAGAACAUCCAGGGAAACAGGGCGGCACCACGGGUUCACAAGACCGCGCUUGUAUUGUUUCGUCCGCGUAACCGCGUUCAUCUUCAUCGCCAGUGAACAACGACGUGCUCCAGCUGUUCCCUCGCGGCCUCGCAACCAAAAAAAAAAGUGCUCCAGCGUGCUGCGUACGUACCGCCGUGUGUGUAUGCGCCACGGUGCUCCUCCCUUUCGGCGAACCAAAGCCAGAAGCCCAGAACUAGCAGCGGCACGCAUCGUCGCAACCUCAUUGCGCGCAUCAGCUGGCAGCAGCGCACGGCGGGCGGCCAGUGCUUGCUGCCAGCUUCCUCGUCCCGUUCAAGAACGCCGGUGCGCGAGGACGGCGUUGCCGUGGGCCGUGCCCAUCUGCCUGUCCAGCUUCGCGGCCAUGGAAAGGUUCGUGGAGGAGAAAUGGGCGAGCUCCUCCGCCCACCCAUCGACGCCGCGGCGGCGUCUCCCAUCGUCAGGUCCGCCGCCCCCUCCCAAGUCUGAACUGGCCGAGCGGACGUAACGCGUUUGAUCGAAUAGCCGACGUCCUCAUUUGUUUCACAAAAGAAAAGUUCAAUUCUUUGGGCUGGGCUGCCGUUGUGCUACUUGUCGGUCAAUGGGCUUUUCCCCCUUGUGUCUGGUCUCAAAAAGGACUUGCUGCUCCUCUUUAAAAAAAAGAAACAGAAAAGACUUGCUGCCAGGUCAGUUCGAAACAGCGAGAGCCGAAGCUGCCGACGGCGACAUGCAUGACAGACAUGGGACCGUAUAAAUGAGAGCAUGUUUGUUUCUUUAGCACCUCAAAAUUCCUGUCACAUCGAAUGUUUAGAUACUAAUUAGGAGUAUUAAAUAUAGGCUAAUUACAAAACCAAUUGCACAGAUGGAGACUAAUUUGCGAGACGAAUCUAUUAAGCCUAAUUAGUCCAUGAUUUGACAAUGUGAUGCUACAGUAAACAUGUGCUAAUGAUGGAUUAAUUAGGCUUAAUAGAUUCGUCUCGUGAAUUAGUCUCCAUCUAUAUAAUUAGUUUUAUAAUUAGCUCAUAUUUAGUCCUCCUAGUUAGCCUUCAAAUAUUCGAUGUGACAUGAAUUUUAGUCACAACUAAAGAUCCAAACACCCCCUGAUUCUAGAUGCCCUAAAAAAUUUAUAUAAACGACUCUCUAACGGCAUGUUCGCUUCAGCUUAUUCAGUCAGCUUAUCAGCCACCAAACAGUAUUUUCCUCUCACAACAAAUCAGUCGUUUCAACUUUUCAGCUGGUUUAUAAGCUGAAGCGAACAGGUCUAAGUUUUUAGCAAAAUCAUUUGGUUUUUGCUUGAGGGGGGAGGGGGAGGGAGAGCAGUAACCGGAAAGAAAGCCGAAGAGGACACAGGAGAAAUUCCGCAGUAUCACCAUGGCCAUUGGCCAUUGCCACGCGCUCCCUUGUCCGAGCAUGAUGGGUGUUGGCCAACGGCCAUUCAAGAACAGCUACAGAUGGGCCUGAUAGCUCCAUUGGAACAGCAUCACUAUUCAUUUUUUUAAAAAUAAAAAUAAAAAUAGCAUCACUAGUAUCCAAAAGCGCCGUCCAUGGGCUACUAGUGUAUGUCUUAAAGAAGACAACAAGAAGCACUGCGUACUUAAAAACCUUUUAAAAGAAAAAAUAGUUAAAGUGUCACUGUGACCCCAAAGGCUGUGGCUGUCGUCAGCUACACCGUCAACACGAAUGUUCUAGAGGCUGGCUGCCGCGCUAACAGUACCAUUUUUGUGAAACAAAGCGCAGAAGGGUCUCGCAGCACUUCUUGUUCGAUGAACACUCAAUAUGGCAAAUAGGAGUACGUAGGAGACUAGGAGUGAUGCAGUUACACCCUGUUGGUAAUUCUAGAGCCUUCGUUGAAUCCUUCAAUUCCCACUUGGCAUCAAUCGUGUGCAGAGUAGAACUCUUUCCAACUUGCAAGUAAAUCCUUGCACAAAUACAAAUCUUCAAAAUGUAUUUGUGCAAAUUAUAUACCUGCAAAGAAAAGGCAAAUCAUAUGUACGGAGUGCUAGCAAAAAUUUCGAGAGGCUCGCCUAAACGAGACGGAUCAGGGUCCCCGGAUCCGAGGCGAUUCGAUCACCCAAGAUACACCUCGAGAUCUCCGCUGCACCCCGACUCAUCAUGGAGUCAUGGGUCUGACUGAACUCGCGGACCCACUCGUCAGGCUACCUACGCCACUUCUGACGUCCCCGGAAAGAGCUCACCCCUUUUACGCCUCAUCAGUCUCCCCUUUAAAAGCUGCGGAUAUUUUGCUCCGCCUCCUCCGAUCCCUUCCCCUCCCACACUAGGAGCCCGAAAAGACCAGACUACCCCCCGCUCCCCCGGAAGUCAGAGUGGGGGACUGGGAGAGGACGAUAGGAUAGCGCAUCGUCGUCGCACCUGUCGCCGGCGAGCCAGACCGGAGCGAAGCAGGCAGCGAUGGCGGUCGCGGAGCUGUGGGAGACGCUGAAGCAGGCGAUCGUGGCGUACACGGGGCUGUCCCCGGCGGCCUUCUUCACGGCCGUGGCGGUGGCGGCCGCGCUGUACCACGUCGUGUCGGGGCUCUUCGCGCCCCCGCCCCCGCCGCCGCCGCGCCCGCGGGAGGAGCCCGAGGCGGAGCCGCUCCCGCCGCCCGUGCAGAUGGGGGAGGUCUCAGAGGAGGAGCUCCGCAAGUACGACGGCUCCGACCCGAAGAAACCGCUCCUCAUGGCCAUCAAGGGCCAGAUCUACGACGUCACGCAGAGCAGGUCUGUUCCCUGCACCAAAACCCUCACUCCCCUCCUGUUUCGAUGCAUCCGUCGUUUUGUUCUAAGGCUUAGAUUUUGCUAGCUGCCCGAUUCUACUGUAGCCGAGUCCGUGUAUGAUUGUCGAUCGAUUGGGUCGUAUACAAGAAACAGCUGAUACUACUUGUUACUUAUGAUUUUUUAUGAGGUCGCAUAAUUGCCGUGUUUUGUUGUGUAGUCAGUACUAUUUCCGUGACCUGACUGAGUAGGGUUGCCGAUUAGCACAUAACGAUUAAGCCAUCAAUUCAGUGAUAGGAAGCUACUUCUUGCCCAAGUUUUCCAAUGCAACUGUAGAUUUGUCUUUACCGAUGAUUGGAGUGAUCCGGAUGAUAUAUUUCCUUGAGUUUAUGUGAGGCAAUUGAAUGUCUUGUCGUAUUUGAGGUCUUUGAACUGGUUGUUUCCAUCUUCCUGGCUGACAAGAGUAAUCCAGGUAAUAAAUUCUGCUGGAAUUUCUCGUUAAAUGUUUUGUCUCUAUUGGGGUUUCAGUUGCGUGGGUGCAUCGAUUGGUUGAAACAAGAUAUGGAAACUACCUAUCAAUUGCACUUUUGUUUGUUAGUAAUGAUUUACCGUGUUGAUGAUUUGUAACGCUUGUAACCGUCUGGUAUUUCUGCUCAUCAAGUUCAAAACAUUGCUAUUUACAGAAUUUAUGGGUAAUGUUUGAUUGAUUGCUAGUUGUGUAAUAUGAAAUCCCACAAUGCUAGCUAGGGGAUGAUAAGUUCUUGUAGUGGGUGGAAUCGCGGGCUCACAGCGGACAUUUGGGGUCUUGACAUCAAUUCCAUAAUGCUUGUUGGGGUUGUUUUUCCUGCCUUUUUCUUCGUACAAACUUUGGAUGUUUAUAAAGCUUGAUAUAUCGUAAUCAUUUGUAUACUUGAUUAUAAUCUUUUUAGUACCUGUUGACUGUGUGCCAGCUGGGGCUUUAGAGUUGCAAGUAUAUUUGGUAACGAUCGCCUGAUUGAAUAUAGAGAUCCCAUGUUUAUAAUAAGUGAGAAUACCAAAUGUUUAGCAGGCUAGCAGCUGUGCCUGAAUGCUGGAUGUGCAGAAGCCACUUUCACUAUGUGCUUUUCAGUCGGCAAUUGAAGAAUUAGUGAAAGUUGUUUCCCCCCUUUCCUGUUCCUGUAUUUUGUAAUAUUCUGGUGGUUAGGUACAGGAAUGGAAUAAGAUUUGUGAUUGCUCUUUAUCUAUCCCUUGGUAUGCGAGAUGUGGUUGCUGGUUUACCCCUUUUUUGUGGGCAGAUGAUAAUAUUUUUAAGUUCUUGGAUCUGCUAUAUCAUAUGCAGGUCUAUCCUCAAAAGUGCACGCACUAUCCAUCACAAUCAUUUCUGUAUUGCACCGCUGUCCAUGCAAAACACAUGCAGCCUUUUUGGUGAGGGGUCAUGUUACAUGAUGCAUGCAUACUGUAUUCAAGAAUAGCUGUGCUAAUUUUGAUAUGUUUGGAUUAAUUUGUGCCCAGAAAUGCGAUGUGAAGUUCUCUUACAUAUUGAUUCUUAUUUAUUUCCACAUUUUACUUACAUAUUGCAUUAUAUAAUUAUUUUGUUUGUUUUACUGUCACUACGCAGGAUGUUCUAUGGACCUGGUGGACCUUAUGCUCUAUUCGCUGGUAAAGACGCCAGCAGAGCCCUAGCCAAGAUGUCCUUCGAGCCACAGGACUUGACCGGUGACAUCUCUGGCCUUGGUCCCUUUGAGCUGGACGCCCUGCAGGACUGGGAAUACAAGUUCAUGAGCAAGUAUGUGAAGGUCGGUACUGUCAAGAAGACCGUCCCUGGUGAAGAGGGCAACACCGCAAGCUCAGCUGCUGAAACCAGUGAGACCGCCGCCGAGGCACCAGCAACCGAAGAGAAGCCGAGGGAGGUAGCUGCGGAGGAGGUGAAGGAGAAGGAAGCUGCCGCUGUCGAAGGAGCCAAGGAAAGCUAGAGCGUUUCAGAGCUCCCUGCAUAUGCUGCAAUAAAUGGACAUGUUGGAUGUCAGGGCCCUGCCGUCCUCUUGUCAGUGACAUAGGCUGUGUAAUCUGGAUAUGUGAUCUGUACCAGCUCCAUGGCCCUGGAGGUGCUGGUGAUUUAUAUUAUAGUCGGUCAUUGGGAAUUUGGAGUACAAAGACAUCCGGCUGUGCACCCCCUACCUCUGUUAAUGUAGUAAUGUACUCAAUCGUGUCGUGGAUAAUAGGCGCUCUUGUAAGAUAGUUUCAUGCGCUGCAUUUUCUUUCCCCCAUACAAAGCAGAGAAGCAGCAUCCAUGAUUUGGGUUGGAAUGCAAAAACUUGUGAUAUGGGUUCCUUGCGAGAUUCCACCACAUGGGAAUCUUGUGGAAAUCAUGCGUCGUGAAAAUUCUUGUCAAGAAGACUGACGCUGGGUCAAAACCACGCAUGGGAAAGUUCAUGUUUGGCAUUGUCAAUUCAACAUACGACAAAGGAGCGGUCUCUGUUUGAAUUGAUGUAGAUAUUAUUGAUACCGAUGGCACCCCUUCCCCGAAGUUACGCUAGUCCUGUGCAGUGUCGCCAAAGUCCGUGGCCAGUACUGCAGAUAUACUCUUAUGUUCUCCUUUUUAUGUCAAUAUUUUCUGUGAACAGAUCAAUCGUAAAUAUUUUUUUGAGAUGAUCAGUAAAAUGUUUUUCGAACAAAUGUAGAUGCGGCACGUACUUGGGAACGAACCCGACGUCAAAGAAAAAGGAAGCAGAGGGGUUAGGUUCCUUUCUUGGGCUUCUACGCGCUAUUCUACUUGUGGGCCUUUACACCCGUUAGGUUUCGGCCCAUCACAGGCCAGUGCCCGAUCGACAGAGAGUUCGCAGCAGCGCGUGUAGCCGUUUAGCCCCACCUCGCCCAGCCAGACCGAACGAAGGCGUCAGCUCGCUAUACAAUCCGACCCAGGGCUCCGUUCCAAAGCAUACCUUUCUCGGCCUUUUGGCUAAGAUCAAGUGUAGUAUCUGUUCUUAUCAGUUUAAUAUCUGAUACGUGGGCCAUGCGCCCACUUCGAUAUUAAAUUUAUUUUUUGUGGGGGAGGGUCCAUCACAGUGGCUUGCCACUGGGUCCCUCGAGCGUCGCCUAGGCGUUGCACUGCUGCUCAGGCCUGGCGCACCCCAACCAAUUCUAAAUCAAAUUUUGGUUUCUGAUCACUCGCAAAGAGUGUGAACGGCAAUUGUGUGAAAGGUGCUGCUUCAGUUGAAUUAAAGAGGGAAGCAGACAAGAUCUUUCCUGCUGGCAGCGGGUGUUCAGUAGUCACUGUUCUGAAUGGCGUCUUGCUCCGUCGUGACCGCACCGGCGCUCUCCGCCUCGUCUCCGACCAGCCGGCGGCGUGCGACUGCGGCCGUAUCUCUCCCUGGUGUUCGCCGCAGCCGGCUCCCGUCACGGGGCGUGCGGUGUAGCGCCGGGCAGGGCGGCGUCAAGGUCCCGGCGAAGCGUAAGCUCCUGCACUGAAGCCUCAAUCUCUCGCGUGGAAUUCGCCUCCGAAAUCUGACGGUUUUGACGGGGUGGGUGGGUGCCGCAGUGGCGGAGCUGUGGGAGGCCGCGAAGGGCGCGCCGCCUCUCGCCGUGCUCGCCGGCGUGGCUGCGGCGGUGGCGAUCUACAAGGUUGGGUCCGGUCUCCUUGCGCCGCGCCCUCCCCAACCCCAGCGGCUGGAGACCAAGACGGCCCCGCCGCCUCCAGUGCCGGAGCCGGUGCAGGUGGGUGAGAUAACUGAAGAGGAGCUGAAGCAGUACGACGGGUCCGACCCCGAGAAGCCACUGCUGAUGGCCAUCAAGGGGCAGAUCUAUGACGUCUCCCAGAGCAGGUUGCUUCCUUGAUUCCAUCAAACCUGAGCCUCUAAUUCUUCAUUCAUCCCGUUGCAACGUUGCUCUGCUUUUCAAUGGUCGUUUAUGGUUGUUGCUUCUAAGUUUAUUCAGAGUUUUGUUCUGAUCGACUGUUCAAUGAUAGUUAUUCAAUGGUUCAUACCCUUAAUUUGUAGAACUUGCUGCUGUAGACAACAACGCCACAUGAAAAAUAAGAAGCAGUGCUCUUAAUUUGAAGAGUUCUUUUGCCCUACUUUGUGAAAUGAAGCAGGCAAUGUUCUGAAUUUGGGAUGUCAAAAAACUGUACGUUGUGACCAAGUGGAUUGAGAGUAUGUUUGAAAUGUCUUUGUUUUGGUGAGUGGAUUUUCAGUAUGCUUUCUGUCCAGUCAAAACUGAUGUCGUGCUGUCAUGCAAUUCUGCAAAUACAAUGCAAAUUGUAUUGUGAUGGAGGUUCUGAUGCUUGGCAUGUAGGUUCAGUCAUUGAGUGUAAAUCUACAUGGUAUGUCUUGGAUUGAUCUGGGUUCAGUCAUUGAGCUAAUCCACAUAGUGUUUGAUGGUCUUUUUUUGAUCGCACUCAUAGUAAUAGUACUAACACUCUUUGAAUGAUUAAUUUGGUACUGAAUUGUACAAUGCUAUGCCAUGUAUGGGUACCGUACUUUCUUCUCUGAUAUCAGCAGCAAUCAUGUUUUUUUCAUUUUAUUUUCUUGCCAUGCUAUCCUUUGGUUUUAUUGGUAAGAACAUCAGAACAUGUCCUUAUCUUGUGUUCUAUAAAAUCUGAAGCUCACUGGUUUCUCCUCAUAGAUAGUUGAACCAGGGACACUUUUAUUUGGAAACGUGAACUCGUGUGAAAGAUGUGUGCCGCAAUUAGGACGUGUUUAGGACUGUCCCAACAACACCAGCAUAUUCUGCUUAAUUUCUACUGGACAUGUGUUUACCAAUCCUAAAUCUGAUCUUUUUUUCCUGAAGGAACUUAGUUGGUUCACCUUUCUUUUGAUGUGAUAAAUAUCUAAGUCUCAUAUCUCAUUGUCGUCUAACACUCUAACCUAAUAAUUUAUAUUUUGAUCGAAUCAUUACUUUCAUGUGGUACUACUGUAAGCUCUUGGAGAGCAACAAUUCCUCUGAAACGUUAUAAGCUGCACUGGAUUUUUUUUCCCAUUUAGCUUGCUGGAGGAUGAGGCAUGAAUAAGCCUUUUUUUUUUCCGAUGAGAAUAAUUAGAUAACAUACCCCUUGCAGACUUGCAGUUCAAAUAACACGCAAAUACCAUGGAUUUUGUUGUGAACCAUUACAAAAUUUAAAUAUAUUCCUGCACUCCAAUGCAAGGACAUUUGCGUUAAUGUUGUGUCUAUUCAAAGUCUUCAUAUUCACCUACUGUCUUUAUCUUUAAGAUUACACUGUAUUUACCAUGCAUAAUGCAUUGUGUUUGACACUGAUGAUGAGUUAUGACAAUAUCUUUUGCUGUCUGUGAACUCUGCAGAAUGUUCUAUGGACCUGGUGGGGCAUAUGCGUUGUUUGCUGGUAAAGACGCCAGCAGGGCCUUGGCCAAGAUGUCCUUCGAACAGCAGGAUCUAAAUGGUGACAUAUCUGACCUUACACCAAUGGAGUUCAGUUCCUUGAAUGACUGGGAGUACAAGUUCACCAGCAAAUAUGUGAAGGUAGGAACCGUAAGAAGGGCAGCGCCUGCAGAAGAGGGUUAUGCUGGCAUUUCGCCUGAAAUACGGGAGGAAGUUAUGCCUAUGCCUGUGCUUGAGGCUGAGGCUGAGGCUGAGGCUGAGGCUGAGCCUGACCUGGAGCCCGAGCCGAUUGACGACGAAGCACCAUGAAAGGAAACACAGACAUCUGAGCAACGCGGGGAAGAACCAAAUGGAAGCCGGGGCACUACUGAUAGUGUCCCAAAGGGAGUUAGAAUUUAGGAAUAACCGAACGCGGUGCUUCAUGGAUGUUCGGAAGAAAUAGUAGAUGUGUACUCUUCAGUAGGAUGGAAUGGUUGGAUAAGAAUAUAUGAAGAGGUGUUCUAGCUCAGUGAUGUUCAUGUUCAGAAACGAAAAAAGAAAAAAGAUGCACACGUGAUGGAACAACUUAUCUCUUUUCUUUUCUUUUUUCCUUGGCUCACAUAGCUCCAAAAAGACAUUAUCUCCAUUUGAAUCGGGUUUUAAUCUGUCAGCUGCCAACUGUCUAAUUAAACAAUGGUAUGCAGUUGGACCAUACACAGCAACUGAUCAUCAUUCGCUGAUCCCAUACGCAUCAUCAUCUGAUCUUACUCUUCAAACUAACGAGUUUGAUAUGAAUCAGAUGUUAGGUUUUCGACACAUGGUAGUGGCGUGCUGCAACUGCUUCACAAUUAGUACCAGCAGUUUCUGACACGCAUCACUUGAUUCCAUCUCAUAUUGUCUUAAAGAUGGACUGAAGAGACUUCACUAUGACACUCCAGAAUUGUGUGCUCUCCAUAUUUUUGCCUGUUUGGAAUAUCACCAAGUUUGGAGGAAAAUUACCAAUUCCUCUGAAAUUCAGAAUUUUCACCUUGAGCAGUUGAGCUAGAUCCUAGAGGCUCAUCAGAUGCGCAACGGAAUUUUUCGCCUGCCAGAUGCCGAGAUGAAGCAAGCCGGCGGCAGUUCGUUGCAGCAAGGUCUGAUCACGUGAAUCCGACUAAGACUUUCGUCAAUCCUUUUGAGUCCACUAUCCACACAUGGUAGAAGGACUAAACAUAGUCUAAUUACAGAAUUAAUUGUACAGAUGGAGUCUAAUUCGCAAUCUAUCAUUAGCAAAUGGUUACUGUAGCACCAUAUUAUCAAAUUAUGGACUAAUUAGCACCAUAUUAUCAAAUUAUGGACUAAUUAGACUUAAUAGAUUCGUCUCACGAAUUAGACUCCAUCUGUGCAAUUAAUUUAGUCAUUAAAUUAUGUUUAAUAUUUCUAAUUAGUAUUAAACAUGUGAUGUGACAUGUGCUAAAGUAACUAGGCUCCUCCUCUUUCCGAGUGCAAUGUAUAGUCCUUCUCGGUAAUCGAAGAGGAAAUACUUGUGAGCUUGUGGGCCUUGUGGCAAUGAAAAGAACCGAAAAGAAGAAGCGGCAUCGAUGUUGUCUUGGGCUCUGACGGGCUACUUCUUUCGUGGGCCUUACAAGGAGAGGGGGAAACGCUCUCGCUGGGCCUCGGCGUAUUACAUGCACUCGACCGGCAUGGGCAUGGAACAUGCAGCGUGCCAGCGCGAGUAGCCGUUUAGUCCCACCUCGCCCAGCCAGACCGAACGAAGGCGUCAGCUCGCUAUACAAUCCGACCCAGGACUCGGUUCCAAAGCAUACCUUUCUCGGCCUUUUGGCUAAGAUCAAGUGUAGUAUCUGUUCUUAUCAGUUUAAUAUCUGAUAUGUGGACCAUGCGUCCACUUCGAUAUUAAAUUUAUUUUUUGUGGGGGAGGGAUCGCCACAGUGGCUUGCCACUGGGUCCCUCGAGCGUCGCCCAGGCGUUGCACUGCUGCCCGGGCCUGGCGCACCCCAACCAAAUCUAAAUCAAAGUUAUUUUUCAGCUUAACCUUGAGCGGGGUACUCUACGCGAACUUGAUUUCAGGUGGAGGGCAUCUGCGGCGGCACAGCUUGUGCCCAAGUGAUACCGGCCGGAUCAGCUUCGUAUCUCCGCUUGCCGGCGCGGAGCCGUCGGGUCUCCACGCGCCGUGCCCGGCCCCGUCGGCUGGUGCCUGGAGGCCUUGGCGGCCCUGGCGCCUUGACUUCCGGAGCCUGCGGCGGUGGUUGAGAUGUCGGAGGAGCUGCAGCGACCGACCCUGACAAAGCCACUUCCCAGUUCCCAUGGCCUUGACUUCUGGAGCCGCCGGCGGUGGGUGAGAUGUCGGAGCUGCAGCGACCGACCCCGACAAAGCCACUUCCCAGUUCCCAUGGCCGUGAGGGAGAUCUCUCUCUCAGAGCAGGUGCUCCAUCUCGAUCUAGCGCUGAUCUGUGGUUUGUUUUGUGAUACUCGAUUACGGUUGUAGCCUCUAAUGUCUAAAAUGCAUUCAGAGUUUAGUUCUGAUCAGGUGACCAGUGGUAACCAUGAAAAAUCAGAAAAUGCACUGGAAAUUCUUAAUUUGGGAUGUCAAAACUGUAGGUUGCCAACUGAGGGGACAGACAGAUGUUGAAAAGUCUUCGUUGGUGACCAUAUUUUGGGAACUGCUGCAAAUGCUUCUUUUUGUUGGUUAAUCAAACAAAAAGGUGAACCUCUCACCUCGGAUGUACCAGACCAACUAGUCAAUGGGAUGCUAAACAAAACAUUUGGGAAUGAAGGAAAACAUGUGGACUGCAGUCUGCAAUUCUGCAAACAUACUGCAAGUCUGCAAUGGUGCUCAACAUGCAAGCUCAAUUAUUGAAUGCCAAUCCACAUAGCAUGCUUACAGUUGAUUUUGGGUUUGAGUAACUGAACCUGAUGAACAUAGAUUGCUUAAAACGUGUGCUACCACUGCCAGUAGUUAGUUUCGUUUGAUUUGGGAUUUGUAUGCCAAAGUACUGCAGGAGGAUGGCUUGCCAGUAGUUCCUUUUGUGGUAUCAGGAAGAAUAUAAUCAUGUUUUUCAUUUGAUGUUCUAUAAAUCUGAAGAUUGCAAAUUUGUCCUCCUAGAUAGCAUGAUUGUGGACAAUUCUACUUGAUAGACAAAAUUGUUUGAAAUAUGUGCAGUGAUUUAGGGUUGUCUGAAACAAAGUACAUUUUCUACUGGGCAUAUACAGAACAUGUCAAAUAUUCUGGGCAAAAAACUUACUGGUAUACAUUUUAUGCUGUACUCGUAGCUAUCUCAGUGUAAUUGACACCGUCAAAUUGUUCCUUUUUGGAUGGGUGUGCCUUACAAACAGUAACUGGUAAUAGUAGGUAUUUGAUCGGAAAAUCCACAAUUUCCUUGGCAAGUAGGUGGGUACUUGUUGCUAGGUACGUCUUGUUCAGUACAUUAGAUAGGUGCAAUCAAGCUUUUCUGAGGAUUGGAGUGCAGUCCCAAUGCUUCACCAAACAUGUUCAGUAAAGGUUCUGAGGAUAGAUCCCUGGUGGAAUCGUUUGGUCAUUUAGGAUUUUAGUAAAAUGUAUGGCUGCACUCCAUGGAUAUUUGUAUUAAUUUAAGCCAAUUCAAGGUUUUUAUAUAACCACCUUGUCUCUUCAAAUACUAUCUCUGUACUUUAUUGUACAUAACAGUGUAACAGAAUGUGUCCGAUCAAAUUACAUAAAUUUUCCUUGGCAGUAAAAUAUAUAACACAACACAUCAUCUUUUGAUCAGGUUGCACGAAUUUUCACUCAAUUUCCCCUUUUCCAGGAUGUUCCAUGGAUCAGGUGGAGCAUAUGUUAUAUGCGAUGUUUGCUAGUAAAAAUGCCAGCAGAGCAUUGUCAAAGAUGUCCUUUGAGCUGCAGGAUGGUGGCUUUACGCAAAUCAAGCUCGGCUCCUUGAACGACUUGGAGUGAAGAUGGGAACCAUGAAAAGAACAGCCCCUGCAGAAGAAGGUUGCGCUAGCUAGCUUGAUCCUAAGCCCGAGCUGAAUGAAGAUGACGCACAAUGAAAACAAACAAACAUCUAAGUUCUGAGUUCUGAGCUGAAUGGACAUCACCAUGAAGUUGCUGAUGAAUGUUCCUGAGGGAGUUAAAAAAUAUUUGAAUACCUCCUUGCGCACGUCAGGUCUAAUGCUUGCAGAAAUGAUGCUUUAAUUUUACAUGUCUGCUGAGGUGUGAGUUGUGAGCUGCUAUAAAAUUGAAUGGUUGGAUAUGAUGGAUCCAUGAUCUAGUUCCAUGGUCUUCAUGUUGAAAAACGAGAUGCAUUGUUCCAUCAUGUAUGCAGAUCCCCCUGUAGCAACUUCCAAUGUUUGAGCAGCUUGCCCAAUUUCCAGUGUUUAUUUAGUAUAUAUGGCCAAUAUUUCCAGUACUUCAUUCAUACAUAAGUUCUUAGCCACAAUGCAACUGAGGAGCAGAUGAAGAUCGACGAGCAAUUUGCUCUUGUAUACGGAAAGAACAACAUUGAUUACCAGACUACCUCUUUCUAUUUACUGGUUGAGAGUCUUUGUGACUUCACUUAGUUCCAAGUUUGUCCAAUUAUCCUGCUAAAAUAUUAUCUCUUUGCUUGUGUCAUUUUCUGAUCUAUUAUCUCCUACUCAUAGACGAGAAGCGGUAGGAAAGGUGUCUUUUGCAUCUUGUUUGUUCAAACCUAUCAGAUCCACCUACGAAAGAAUGGUAUGCAUUUGGAGUAUACACGAACAACACUGUAUCGAGGUUUUAAACGUAAGAUGUCGUUAGGUUUUUGGAAUCGAUGCGAAAUAUCAUAUGAAUUGGAUUGUGCCCUUAUCCAUCAAUCAUCAUUUUUACUAUACCCAUCAUACAUAUCAACGAUCUGAUCUUAUCAUUGCUCUGGAAGUGGGCAAGAACACAUUUGCAUUCCUAGACUUCGAUGGCCGGCGCAUCGCUAUCGCCGUUGUGCUCUUCCAAGGAUCCAUCAGCCUCCUCCAUCACCACGUCCUCCAUCACCACAUCCUCCAGGAUAGCAGAGCCACCGCAGGCCUGCUGAUGCUCUUGCUGGGUGUGUUCAGCGACCACAACCUGAGACAUAACAAAGAGGCGAGGCAGGCCGUCGCCCACAGUCAGUGGCGUCCAUUGCUGCAGCAAAUUGCAUCCGCUGCAGAGCAGCUUCCACCUCCGCGACCGAGACGUUCCCCUCCCGUUCGCAGGUCGGAUGCCGAGCCCCAGUGAUGCGGUUGAAAACCGUACUCACAGGGAUAGUUGGAGCUGCUGCAGUCUUCCUUGGGCCGGACGAGGCUUCAUUCCUGAAGGCCAGAGGUGUAUCCAGGAUACCUAGCCGUGUUGCCAGCGCACAUGCUUCGUUGAUGUAGUCUGCAAGCAAGGCGCAGGUCGAGGUCACCGUCUUGCACGUGCCCGCUGCGCCCACUGAAUCGAGGAGGUGACCCGCGGCCUCCUUGAGUGCAGCAGCCUGCAUCUUGAAGAUGUUCUGCAGCACGUCGUCUUCCACAUGCUCCCGGUGCAGCUGCGCGGGCAGCGGGGGUGGAAUGGGAGCCGGUUCGGCCACCGGAACAGCCACGCCGUGCUGCCGCCCAUCACGGCGUGACCCACGUUCCCAGUCACGGCGUCGCGGGGAGCGCUCCCGCUCCCGGUGCACGCCGCCGGCCGACGCGAGCCACGCCCAUACAUCUAUGGUCUUCGUCUCCGCCGGGUACAAGAGAUUAGUAUCAAUGGUCUCCAGUGCGCAGCUCCCGCCGAUGACGCGCUCGACGAUAUCCGCGCGUUUUACAUAAUUUGAUCUUGCAAGAAUUAAUUCUUCGGAAGCUCAGCCCAACAACACAAGUUAAGAAGAGUUAUUAAAGGCCCAAGGCAACAAAAACACAGAAAGAGCCCACUCUCUGCCCAGUGCUCACGUUGCUCCGCACGAAGCCAACAAUAAAGCUUUGCCAACUGGCCUGACACUCUCUCCUCACGUUCUUCCCCCUCAGCUCAACCAACGCUGCUGUUGUUUAGUACCACACCGCCUGUUCACAGAGCACAGCACCAACUUAAAUGGCCAGUCCUCCGCGCCUCACUCGCCGAGCAGCUAGCGCCUGCUUGUAACCCGAGCGGGGGCAUUAAGGUGGUGCGGAUGCCAAUUGUGGCGCUUGGGCCUGGGUCUGCUGCCGCAAUCUGCGGCCCGCCCGUUCCAAGUUGCGUAGUGGGCCGUGGGUGCUUCGGCGAAGGCCUUGGCGUCCCGGCACCUAGAGCGGCGGGCAAUGCGUGAGGCUGGCUUCACAGAGCAGCGAAUACCGCCCGCUUCCAACGGUGGAAGGAUAACGGGCCGCUGCGCUUCAGUCCCGCUUAGGCCCAUGCGCCCUCUCUGGCAGACCACCAUCUUUUUGCAUUUUUUUUCCUUCGUUGGCCCUUGGCUCCGUGAAUCUCGAAGAACAAUUGGUUUGCCAAAAAAGAAACACACUCUGAUUCACAUGGUCAUACUCUGCUAGUGUGCCAAGUCAUGACGUGUCCUUGACUAGUGCUAAAAGACACGCAUUGCACUGCUUUGCCGGUACAGAAGAGCACAGAGUGCACCGUAUCACUCUGAAUUUCUGAUCGAUCAUUUUAGUCAUGCAUGGUUAUUAGGUCCAAAGAGUUUGUCUCAAAGGUCACAGCGCACAUGCAGACGUCCAUCAGCUCCACGGCUCUCUCCCGGCUUGCCGGCGACGAAGCACCACCACACACCCGUCAGCCGUUAGUUGGGAAGUACCGGGGCACAAGCUCCAGCCGGAACCGGCAACGGUGGAACUCCAAUUCUCCAAUGCUCUUCGUUAGAAUCCUAAACAACAAGGAGGGUACCUUGUCAACUACUGUUCUAUAUACUGAUCGGCGGACGAGAGGAGGAGGAAGAUCACCUGAAUUAUCGGUUAUGCAGGGGAUUUGAGCCUUGUGGCACUGGUCUCGCCGAUGCUUCGUACAUCCGCCCGGGAGGAGAACCACUUCCAAUACGUUCUUGCGUUCUUGGCACCUUGUAGAGCUGCUGCUCCACUGAAUAUGCCGGUCGCUCGUCUUCUUCCGCGACGAUUCGCCCUCCCUGACUGAAACCGGCAAACUCUGCAGCAAGUAGGCAUGCCAAGAAAAGCAGCACGCGCCAUGCUGGAAUCUCCAUUGACCUGGAGAUCAUUUUGCAGAGGAGGAGGAGGAAAGAUGGAGUGGAUGGGAGGAGUUCAAGCCAACCAUGCAAGUAAAGUUGAUUCUGAAUUUUGCUGAUCUGAAAGGGCUGCAGGUUUCGUUCCGGUCUUCCAGAACUAAGUAGCGGGGCAUCACAUGUUCGCUGGUGCGUCCAUGCUCCAAGUUUGGAUCCGUCCAAUAAUUGGAUGCAUGUUGGACUUGUCUAAUGCUUGACAGAUGCGUCCUCAUCUCAUAUGGAGUGACAUCAUGGCUUGUAUGAUUGAUUGCUCCGAGGCCAAAAGAGUGGUUGGUUUGGACGGCAGCCGGAUUUCAAACGUUUGGAAUCUGAAAGUUGACUGAACAUCCAGUGAAUGGAGAUCAUACUUUGCAUGUUUGGCCCCAUCUUGGUUCCAGAAGUUGCAAAUUUUUCAGGACUGAACAUCAUGGCUGAACAUUUUUUAAGGAUGCAUAGUUAUCCAGAAGUUCCAAAAUUUUCAUCAGUCAGCAGUUUAGCAUCUUCACUCCUUGAGAAAAAUGCAGCAAGUUACUGUUCAGGAAUUAGUUCUAGUCAGUUAGCAUCUUAAUGUGCUCUUGUUCUGACUCCUCACUCAUAGUUCCCAAUUUGUUCAUAACAGAGAAAAAUACCUUUUCUUCAUUUUGCCAUUUUCCGAUGAAUGAUCUAUCAGCUGCUCACUCGAAGACGAGAAGCGUCAGAAAAAAGAAUAUAUUAUCAUGUGUUGCUCCUUGUUUCCUUAGUCUAUCAGCUGCCACCUGCCUGACUAAACAAAGGUAUGCAUUUGGAUCAUACAUGAACAGUGCUGCUUUGAAGUUUUAAACUGUUACCUGUAACGAGACCUUUGGGAUCAACAAUGUCGAAGCUUUUUCUGAACCAUUGGAGUGUACUGCCUGACUCAUCAAUCACUCAUUGCACAUUCCUAUCAUACACAUUCGCAGGUCUGAUCUUAUUUUACUCCUACUCUGCAAAUGGACAAGAACACACCUGUACGCUACAGUCUUAGACUAGAAUGGAACCGUAGUCACACCGUAUGUCCGUAUCACAGAGAAGUACAUUGAAAAUACUGCAGCAAACUGAGCAUGUAGAGAAAGUUACAGUGAUUAUUCAAAAAAAGGAGAAAUUUACAGUGUCAAAACCACAACAGCAGAGAAUUAGUUCCCUUCCCAGAUUCUUUAUGUAAAGGAGGAAUUCCCUUGGAAUUUUGCAGAAACUGUACUUAUUUUGGCAAAAUCCCCGUCACCUCCAAUGCUCCGAAAAAGGCAUAGAGGAACCAAAUGCAAUGCACUUCUUUUCACUUCCACAAAGCUAUGUUUUACACCACUUCAUGAAAAAACAACAGCUUCUAAGAUCACUCUGAUAUCCCUCUCUCUCGUCGCAAGUGCAGACUGGUUUCUGAGCCUGGAGUCCGGAGCUGGUCAGUUGUGCAGGAAUUUUUUUUAAUUUUAACCCUUUUAAAACUAAAUUUUUAUAAAUAACUCCUCCCAAUCUUUAUUUCCAAGAAGUAGUCAUUUUGGUCACACCAAUCUCUAUGGCGCGACUAAUAUUUGAGUCGCGCCACAUGCAAUAGCGUGACUAACAUAACACAAUGGCAUGAACAAAUAUCAACAGCCGCGUGGCGAUGAUGUGACGAUGACGUGGCGGAGCGAGUCACGCCACGCCACGUGGCGUGACUCAGUCGCGCCAGAGAGUACGGCGAGUAUGGCGUGACCAGCUCCCCCCGUUGGUUGAAAAUGCAGCCUACUUAGCCAUAUUUCAACUUACGUUCUAAUUGACUAAUGAUCUCUUUAAAUUUAUCAAACUUGAUAAGAAUAAUAUAUAGAGUAUAUAUGUUCCAUUUUAAGCGUUUACACUCCAAAAUAUGGUUUGGAAAUCGAGGAAUCCAAUUUCUAAAUAGGCUAAGUGUUAUUGGUUGUAAGCAGAGAGAAAGCUAAACAGAACGUUAGCUUAUGCACGUAAUAGUAAAAAAAAACAGAGAGAAAAAGCUAAACGGAACGUAGAGAGGAGAAAGAGUAAUCUGUAUGCAGACAACGUUUAUACGAAUAAUGAUUGUAUAUGUAAAUGUGAGUUUCAACGAGAACUUAAAGUUUUAAGUAAUAAUGUUUAAAGGACUCAACAAACAGCUAGGAGGGACAACAUGAAAUUAUUCUUCAUCGUGUAGGCCUUUCUUCUUUAAUCUGGAGUGAGAUGACUGCAUAUAUCCAUGCCAAAAACUUUGGACAUGAAUGAAUCACAUCUGUGUGUACGUUUGCCUGAAUGAACUAUACCUACAGAAUUAAGAGAGCAUUAGCAUGAGUCAAUCCAGCUUAUAAAUAACAUGAGUCGGUCAGUGAUCAUUAAAGACAUUAUGCAUACUGUAGGGAAGAGAUUGAUUGGAACUAAAAAGUUAUGGCAGUGACCGCCCAUGGACAACAUACCUUAAUCACGUUAGUUGUUAUGAUCAUUUGGUUUGAUCUCUUUAGAUACAAGUGUACAACAAUAACGCUUAGCCUAUUUAGAAAUUGGAUUUCUCAUUUUUCAAACCAUAUUUUGGAGUGUAAGCACUUAAAAUGGAACAUAUAUACUCUAUAAAUUAUGCUUGUCAAGUUUGACAAAUUUAAGAGAUCAUUAGCUAAUUAGAAUGGAAGAUGAAAUAUGGCUAAGUAGGCUGCAUUUUUGUGCACUUUGGGUCCAACCAGAGCAACCAAGGGGGAGCUGGUCACGCAGAGGCUGGCGUGACUCGCUAUGCCACGUCAUCACCAUGCUGCCGUUAUGUCAUGUUAGUCACGUCAUUGCAUGUGGCGCGAUUUAAGUAUUAGUGGUGCCAUAAAGUUUGACGUGACUAAAAGUGCUACUUCUUGGAAAUAUAGAUCGAGAAGGAUUAUUUAUAAAAUUUUAGUUUUAAAAGGGUUAAAAUUAAAAAAAUCGUUGUGCAGUGGGUUUGGCGCCUGAGGCACCAACCUCUUGGACGCAACGAGCAUGUGCUUGCAACAUUGACCAAGGCGUCGCCCUGAAGCUGAAGAAGAUGCCUGCUUAGAGAAAUAGGCCGGUGGCAAGCCCCCUCCGCCGCUGCCGUCGUCGACACCCAGUUCUGCUACUCUCCGGCCAUAGCUAACGAUUGACAUGUCUGUCAUUACGAGAAGACUGAUGAGCAGCAGCAUUAGCAUGGUUUUCAGAGAUCUUCUCACCAUGAUGCGAUGCUUCAAUUCAAGAGAGAUGUUAGAGAAGAGAAGGUGAGGUAGAGGGAAUCAGGGAAGAAGAAGAAGAACUGGGCCCAGAAGUUUUGCACACAAAUCUGAUACUUCGCCGCUUUAUAGCGAGAAGGUUAUGGAUCACCAACUACUUUUUCCAAUGGAAGUCUAAGGAUUUAAUGGUGACGUGACAGAUUGAUUGUUCUCUUAUAACAUACCGCAUAGUCUUGAUUGAACAGUGCACAUGAAUCUCAAAGAACAACUGGUUUGCCAAAAGGAAACACUGGACUCUCACUCACACGGCCAUACUCUCUGCUCGGUUGCUCUGUCAGUGUGCCAAGAGCUAGGAAGGAUGUUUGCAGAGGCAUGAUGUGUACUUGGGCUAAAAGACACGCAUGUCACCUCUUUAGCAUGAGUGCCUGACAAAGAAGUCUUUUACCGGCACAGAAGAGCACAAAGUGCUCCGUAUCUUUCCGAUCGAUCAUUUCAGUCAUUGUUUAGGUCCCGAUUUUCGGGAAUUGAAUCCAGUGAAGAUUUUGGCUCAAAGGUCACAAAGUAGAAAGUACACGGGUGUCCAUCAGUGAUGAGUCAGAGCCAUGGCCUUUUCUUCAUAAACGAACAAAAAAAACGUUUUCUUUUUCCAUGAAAUUUUCUUGCCACGUGAGUGAAAUUUCAGCAGCCCGCAACACUUCACUGUCAGAGAAAUCAAACUCGUAAAAUUUCUCGCGCGAAGGCGAAGUGUUUCAUAAGCAUGUGGAUCUGUCCCGAUUGGCCAUCAUGUGUAUGCCACGUGCCUUAAGAUUUCAGUCAUUAAAACUCCAUCCGCACACCAGAUUUCUCAGCAGGCGGCAGCAACCAACCGAGCCCUGAUUUUUCUCCCCCGGAUUCCUCGCGGUCGCCGGCGAUGCGAUGUGACGCGAUCGCGUGGAAAACGACAUUGAUCGGCGGCGGCGUGCCGGACUCCGGCAUCUGCUGCUUGGUUCCCUUUCUUCUGCGUGAGACGGUGACGCACUGAAGCCGAAGAAGAGCGUGCGUUUCCCCGAUCUAUGUGAUUAGUCAGCAAAGCAGCCCAACCCAUCUUUAUUGGGCUACAAGGCUGGCCCAAUAGUGCUAGGAAUUCUGUGCUCUGCAGCCCACGCGGGAGGGUAUUAGCAAUGGCAAAGCAGCACAACCUGGCGUCACGGCCGCGGUGGUUAGUCCCACCCUGCUUAGUCUGAAGGUGAUUACCCAGCGAUCACACGUCUUAUAGAGCGGCAGCCGGAGGCUUGGAACUCAAGCAGCUGCGUGGUGAGCACAAAGCGAACUAUUCUUUCGCCUUUUACUAAAGAAUACCGUGUGCACGCCACAAUAAGCAGCAUACCCCAAUUUUUGGAGGGUGCUUUCUCCUUGAGGAAGCGCCCAACAAACUAAUUGUUCAAAAUUUUGAGGUUUCUCUUUACGGAUUAAAUUACGUUCUCUUCCGGGAGGUUCCAAACGGUUCAGGAUUUAAAGGUGAACACUCUACCCUUGAAUACUUGAGAAUCGCCCGCAGGCCCUUCAAUUGUAUUGUUCAAAAUCUUAAAAUUGUUCAAUUUCUCCUCUUCUCGUUGAAGAAGCCCUCGAUCUUCUGCUGAAUCCGAAUAAUCCCCAAGAGAAAGCCAUCUCAAAUGGCAGCGCCUAGCCCCAAAUUAGUGAUGUUUUCGACGACUGGCAUUCGAUUGACGAUUAAGCAAACCUUCAAUCGACUGACGUCGAGAAAUUCUGCUAUUUGUUUAUCCAUACAUGCAUGAACAUUCGGGAAGAACAUAUCAACAUUGGAGAAACAACAACAAAAAAAGAAGACAACAGAUAACUGGAUUCGAACCAUCUUAUAUUCUGAUCUCUUGACAGGGGAAACUCUACAGAAAUGUUAAUGUUCAGCAGUCUGAAUACGAGGCUAAAGUAAGAGGUAUACGGUACCAGUUCAAGCUUACAAGUACAAUGCAAAAGGGCGUCAACUGACACUUGAUCGAUUCCUGUUUAUUCGUCCAAAUAGCGUAUAUAACUUAAGAAGAAUGGGGCUCUUGCCACAGCAGCUCGAGCAAUAAUGUACAAAGAUAUGCAGCUGGAGUGGACAAUUUGCCACUGCCUCUCAACAGAUUGAGCUGCUGCCAUGGCGCUAAUUCACGACACAGUUGGCGAUCUCAGCGAUAGGGAAGGAGCUAAGCGAAGGAUUAAAAAGAAAAUGGGAAUCAGAGUAUGUAUACACGGUGUAGAAAAAUUGCUUCCUGGCCUCAGUUUUGGGUCUUCUCCACCUUGGCCUUGAUCUUCUGCUCAAUGAUCGCCUUCUCGGUGUCGAGGCUGAACAUCCGGUUAAGGGCAUGCAUGUUCUCAAGCGUCUCAUCGAGGGUGCGGCUAUCGCUGCCAUCGCACCUCAAGUGCUGCAGCGGGCCAUGGAGGAGCUUGUUCACGAUGCCAGUGCUCAGCUCCUCGAUGGCUCUCCGCAUCUUCUUGUUAAGAUUGUCUUCACCGAUCUUCUGAAGGCACUUCUCGAGCUCUGAGGCCCGGAUCCUGUCAGCAUAUGACCUCAACUUCUUGAUGGUCGGCACGGUCUCCAGUGAGUCCCUCCAUGCCUCAAACCGUUUCAGUUCUUGGGUGAUGAUUGUCUGCGCUUCCAUUGCUUUCCUGAGACGGUCCUCCUUGUUGGCUUCCACCACCUCUUUCAAGUCGUCAACAUUGUAUACUCGUGCGGAACCAACUUCAGACACACAAGCACUGACAUUUCUCGGGACAGAUAUGUCGACAAACAGACGGACACCACCCAUUGUAUCAGAAAUAGGGGGGAGUGCCUCUGCGUGCUCCUUUGUGAACAAUGGGGUUUCAGAUGCAGUGCUCGUGAACACAACAUCAGCUUCAGCAGCAGCUUCAUACAUCUCUGAUAGAGGCCUGUACACAAUCUCGAUAUCUUUCAUCUCCUCGCAAAUGGCAUCCACCCUUUCCACCGAGCGGUUCACCACAACAACCUUCUUGCAUCCUUUGGCAAUGAGAUGCUUGAUCACUAAUUUGCCCAUCUUACCAGCACCAAUCAGCAGCAUUCUACCUGACAGGGCUUCAGUCUUUGGAAGCUUCAUCAGGGCCAAUUCAACAGCAGCUGAACUGACAGAAACCGCACCAGAUGAUAUGUUGGUCUCACAUCGGACACGCUUCCCAGCUGUGAUUGCAUCCUUGAACAUCCUAUCAAUGUUCUUUCCCAGGCCUCCACUGUUUUGCCCACUCCUUACAACUUGCUUAACUUGAGCAAGGAUUUGUCCUUCACCGAGAACCAAAGAGUCAAGCCCUGCUGAUACCUCAAACAGAUGGCGUGUGGCAUCACUGUCACGCAACAUGAACAGGUGCUCCCUGAGCUCAGAAGCAGGAAUGCCACUUUUCUGUAAAACCAAAAAAAUGCACACAUCAGGGCGUCUUUCCCAAAUGGAGUCCUUGAGCAACCAAAAGGGAAAGCUGGAAAAAAAAAAAGAAGACUGGAUGGAACAAAUAUAGUUGAUCAGACUCUCACCUUUGACAUCCAGUCUACUACUUCUCUGAUACCACGGUUCCAUGACAGAGCCACCACAUAAAUUUCCAUUCUAUUGCAGGUACUAAGAACAGCAGCCUCUUCAAUAUGGUUAAGAUUUGUGAGUUCUUGAAUAGCACGAGGCCAUAGUUCCUCUGCAACCGCAAGUUUUUCACGCAUCUCCACUGGUGCUGUGUGUACACUGAGGCCUAUCACAGCUAUGCUACUCCUUUCUUUCAUGUACCCUGGUAGUGGAUAUAAAAGUUAAGACAUUAUCAAACAUGGCACACUGCACAGAGAAAAUCUGUUUCUAGUAGAAGUAAACUGAAUAUAGCUGCAUCAAUGUUAUUGCUUGAAGUUCCAUAGAUAUUUUAUUGAAGCAAAUUCUAUGUGGAGAAUUUCACGUGUUUACACUAGAUGAGUAUGACCAAAACGAGAGAGACUCAAUUUUUUUCAGUGCAAAAUGCUUGACAUCUUUGUUGUCCAAAUUAGAUUUCUCUUUCCUAAGGACAACGCAGUUCUGUAUGCAUUCACUAUCAUUUGUCUGGCUACCACAUGUUAUUUUGGUGGAUAUAAACACAGAUAACACCACCAAUUUGUGAAGCAUUGGCUCCACAAUCAGUUAGCCCUUGAACAAAUCCCCCAAAAUAACUUGCCAAAUUCACUAGUGGCUGCUUGACUCGGUUCAGAAAGGAAACCAAUUAAUGUUUCAAUUGGAAUGCCGGGCAGUUUCCUCAUCCCCAUGACCAAUUCCAAAUGACACAAGCCAACUCCUCUCUGAUGCCACACGACCUGGUCUCCGACUCCACAUACUAAUCUUACUCAACUCAUGUAACUAGGCUGUGAAAAUUUCUAACGAACGGCAGUAACAUGGAAAAUUCAAGUUAAGCUUGGUGAAGGAAAAAAUUGCGACAGGAAAACGCAAAGUUUCACACCCAUCCCUUUUUCUUCCCCAAACAACCCACACCUUUUGACCUGUACCAAACCAAAACUAAUCCCAACUGCAGCAGUAACCUCGACGCGACGCCAAAGAUUCCUCAAAUCGCGCACAAGAAAAUCACUUCACCAGGCCGCCACAAUCCCCGCAUCCCAGGAUUACAGGAAAGGAAACAGCGGCGGCGGAUUUGAGGACAGACGAGGGGAAAGGACUCACGGUCGGCGGAGAUCUUGAACUGCUCGAGCGCGGCGAUGCUGGCCGCCUUGGCCACCGCCUGCGCCUGUGCCUCCACGCCGGCAUCGCACCGCACCACCCCGGAGCGCCUCCUACCGCCGGCGGUCACCCUCGGGCAGAGGGCCAACGGCGACCCCCGCGGCUUGGCGGCGGACGCGGCCCCGAAUGCCGCGGCGGCGGCGGUCGCUGACGUCGUGCUCGCCAUCAUCUAGAUCAAGGAAGACAGAAAAGCUGCCUCCUUUCGCAAGGAAACCAAACCAAUGCGACGUGAAUCGCGGGCAGGUAGGCGGAGGGAGGGAGAUACACAGAGAGAGAGAGGCGAGGAGAAACUUCUAUCGCUUCUCUCUCUACCUCUCUCCCGCUUCUAGGAGUGGUUCUUGGUGAGGGUCCUCGGUGAGCGAGGGCGGAGAUGUGGAAUUGGUUUCGGCCUCGCGUUAGCCCGAGGGACGGGAGGGGAUGGAGAGGAGGAAGAAAGGCUCGGCUGCUGCUUGGAGCCAAAGGUUAUGGGAGGGUUGUUGGGUCGCCGGAGCCUAGCGGCAUGGCGUGUGGGGCCCACGCGUGGUGGGGUGCCUUUGGGCUCGGUCUUUGGGUCGGCCCGGAAUUUUCUAUGCUAGAAAGUAUUUUGCGUAAAGCCCCUCCUGAUCAGCAAUUAUUGCAUUAAACUUCUUACUCUCACAAACUGAACUUUGCUAGAUUCUGUGUAUCAUGUACUCCCUCCUUUCCAAAUUGUAGGUCAUUUUGACUUUUCUAAAUUUAUAAAUAUUAUUAUGCAUUUAGACAUAGUGCAUAGCAAAAACUAUGCACCUUCUAACCAAAAUAAACUACAAUUUGAAACAGAGGGAGUACAAACUUAAUUUGAUGAAGUCUAUAUGGAACUCUUCCUUAGUUCAAAGAAACAAGUAUCAUGAUUUACUAAUAGCUCGAUUAUGAGCUAUGACAAUGAACCCGUUCAUGCAUCAAAUCCGCACAUAUAUAAUCAUAUCUCAAUCACGCUUACCACGAAUUUUCAUAUGGUAGUGAGUGCAAAAUGCAAUGUGGAUUUUUCGUGUACAAUACUUUCUGUCCAAAUUCCAUCGAUGCAACGAAAAAUCAACCGUUGGUCGCUGCCUUGUUGGCGUGGCAUGGGAAAAACACAGACCUCCAUAUAACAAUUUUUAGGAAGUUUGAGGAGGCCUUAGCAUCUUUCCCUCCAUGUAUUUUGCUUACAUUUUUUUUAUGCCGCAUGUUGGCACUGGUGGGGUGGGUUAGGCGAGAUGAGCCGGCGGAUGAGAGGGUAGCGGGAGUGUGGUGGCCUCUGGCCUCUGAUUGGCUGCGGCCGCACCCUUCUAUCCACAACCCUUAUCUCUCUCCUCCCUCCGAUCUCUCUGACCCCGGGGCUUUUGUAUGGCCUGCGAGGUGGGCACACGAGUUCGCAUGGCCGCCUCACGCGCAGCCUCGUGUGGAUGAUGGCGAAGCGUGUCGACGUGGUGGCCACACUCUCCUGCCCCCCGGGGCCCUCCUGUCUGUGGCCCUUUCACGUGGAAUAUUCGGCGCCUAUUGGAUCCGUAUGGACGUGGAUUCAUGGACUCGGUCCGUUUAGAACUCGCAGGAUUUUCGUGUUUAAAAAAAAAUUACAUCCAUCAUACAACAACUAGUUAGGUGGGUGCAAAUUAAUCUAACACCUAGUAAAAUGCUCAAUGUAGUACAAUAACUUUAUAGGUGGGUACGGAUUGAUCUAACAACUUGUGAAAUGAUAAAAUUAGUACAAUUUGUAAAUUGGUUCACCUGUAGUCCAAAAUAUUAGAACAACAAUAUAUUAAGCAAGGAUGGACAUGUGAAUUUUCUUUCAGACAAUAAUUCUUAAUUUUUCUGUUAACAAGAGUUAUUAUCAUGAUUAGAUUGUUUCUUCUCAACUAUGUACAUAACUUAUUUGUUCAUUAGUAAAAAUGAAUCAAAUUUUAGAUUUACUCUAUUGGCUUUAUCGAAAGACUAAAGUCCAUAAAAGAGACUCCAUGACCUUUAGGUUUUCACCGCACUUCUGCUCAUGUAUUCAACAUCUGUAUAGAAUCAUAUUUGUUUCUGUUAUUUUAGCUUAUUUUUCUUUUCUAAACAAGUACAUGAAACUUUAAAAAUAUUUAUGCUAAGUUUCUAAAAGAUAAUUUUAGUAUGUAUUAACAUGUUGAUUUUGUUUACCUCAACAAUGUAUAUAAUCAAAUAUGUGAAAACAGUGAAGGUAAACUUUCAAUAUUGUAUACGAAAUUAAAUAUUUUUGUCAAAAUUAAAUUACUAUAUAAAAAUAAUUAAUAUGAAGAUAUAACGUCACUGAAGGUUUUAAUCUUAGCUAAAUGUAUUGACAUUAUCAUGCGAAUAUCAAUAAUAAAAUAAUGCUUAAUAGUUUAUUUUGACUUGAAAAUAAUCUGAUAGGGCAUUAGCAAAUAUGCUGCUUAUUAUAACAUUCAAACUGCAGAUGCACCAAUUGGUCAAGUUAUUAUACUAAUUUGAGCAUUUUAUAAGUUACUAAUUUGAGCAUUUUACCCACCUGUAAAGUUAUUGUACUAGAUUGAGCAUUUUAUAAGUUGUUGAACUAAUUUGUACCCACCUAACAAGUUGUUGUAUGGUGGAUGCAAUUUACUCUUAAAAAAAUCAUUUUCCAGUUUCCGGUAACAGAUCACAUGAAAAUUACAGGUUGAAAAAUAACUUGCCACAUGAAAAUUACAUGUUUAAAAAGAUAAGUAAGUCGGUAACUAGGCCCAAACCUCCAUCUUGGAAUUUUUUUUAAAACGAAUCGGGUAAGAGAGUUACCAAUUAUAUUUAAAAAUAGAAGAAAACCUAGAUUGAGCAAUAAAAAACUACCACAACAACUACUCUCACAACAACAACCAACAGCUUAGGAUUAUGGAGUGUAGUUCAUGUUUCUGAGCAUUUGCAAUUUGGUAAGAUACCCACCUGCCUUAUUUUGCCGCGUCAUUUUUGUUGAGCACGUGUUUAGAGGAUUUGCAUUCUGCCUACUGUCUUUCGUCAAAUCGUCGCGCGGUCUCUAUUGAACCCAUGUUUUGGAGCAAGCUCCAUGGUGAUACCCUUGCUUGGCCGGAUUUUUCCACUAGUACUGUUUUCCGGUAGACCUUUCGGUCGGAGCAUGCAAUUUGAGAGGCUAGGAAGGACAACAUCAAAGCCAACUGUCCCAAGGCUCCUACUUUGGCAGCUAGAAGACGUCUUUGAGUACGUCAGUUACCUGCAUCCUUGUUAAGGAUUACUGGAUGUGCUAAUAACAUGGAGUACUAGUGCUAGAUCUAUUUGGAUAUGCUAUUGUUAAAGUUUAGCUCAUCUAAAAUUUAGCACUUUCAUCCAUUAGCACUCUUGUUUGGAGACCUAGCUAAUGGAUAGAACUAAAGUCCAUAAAAAGUCACUUUUACCCUUUUAUCUCCUCACCUCCUCCCUUUCUCUCUCCCCUUUUUAUCUUUUCACGAGCCAUUAGCACCCAUUAGCUAAUGUUUUUGCACUUUUUUGUGAAGGGCUUCCAUUAGUCCUUCCAUUUGGACGUGCUAAUGCAUUAGCACUUUUCACUCAGGCCUUGUUUAGUUACCCUAAAAUCCUAACUUUAGCACUAUGCAAAAAGAAGAUUCCCCAUCACAUCAAACUUACGGUACAUGCAUGGAGUACUGAAUGUAGACGAAAUCAAGAACUAAUUGCACAGUUUGGUUAUACUUUGUGAGACGAAUCUUUUGAGCCUAAUUAGUCAAUAUUUGGAUAAUAAUUCACAAACACAAACGAAACGCUACAGUAUGCUACAUUGCUGGCGCAUUGAUUUUGGUUGUCCAAAAUCAGGCAACUAAACAAGACCUCAUUAGUCAUGGGAUCCAAACAGACCCACAUCUUUGCAUAAACUAAUCAAGAGACGUUGUACAUGGGAAAGAAAUUCGAACCAGAAAUUGUCAACGCAGCCAGCUCACACCACACUGCUAUUCCGAAAACACAUCACAUGGAGAGAGGAAUACAAUACUACGGUAGUAUAUAGUAUUGUAUUUUGUAGACGAACCUUCGUCAAAAAGAAAAAUCCUUCCGCGGUUGACACCUUCAUGGCGCGCGUUGUACAGCUCUGUUUCUGCACGUUUUAGUUGGGCGCUUGGUUUGUCAAAGCUGGGAUCUUCUGCUCACAAUGACUCAUUCCUUUUCUGCAAGGCAUGUUUGACAGGUCAGCGGAUGCAAGAGAUCCCGGCACAGAAAAUCCCUACUCGUCAAUAAAGCCUUCUCCAUGGACCCAGCUGGUUUGGUAAUGGCUUUGACCGGAGCUUUUCCUCCUCUUCCUUUGAUUCCUCUUUCAUCUGCUAGCUGCAGGCCUUUCCCACUGGACGGCAAAGGCAUGUCAAAUUCUCAGCAUGUGUUCUUUGACGGCUACAGAUUUUUUUGUUCCUUGCAGGCCAUUUAAUUUUUGGUACUUAAAGCAAUAAAAGAAUAAAAUCUCUGCUGUAUUAACCUUUUUUUUCUCGAGGUAUAUUCAUCAUGUGAUUUGCGUAACAAGAUGAUUAAUACAUGAAAACUCGUUAAUUUGGAGGGAAGACGGACAUGAAAUGGACGGUUAAAAAAAAGGAAGGGAAGUGGUAGGAGGGAAUCUUGACCUGCCCCAGCUUAAUGGCAGGAGAGGAAUGGGAAAGGUAAAGACAAGCCGGUAUCAACUUCAAACGCAACCGAACAAUCUUGCGACAUGAUCGUGCGUGACAUACGCCAUGAGAUAUUCAAGAAGAAAGCUUGUUUAGGUUGGUUGUGCGCUGUCCACCCGUCCUUGACAGGCGGAAGUAGUGGAAGUACAUCAGAAAACAAUCCUGAUGCGCUCCCUUUAUUGAGCAAUGAUCGAUGUGUUCUGGAAGCUCAUUCAGCAUUUCAGCUUAAAAUAAAAUAUCCCGAGUCUCUAGAUUCCAUGACUAGAUAUUGUACGACAGGAACAUUUGCACUACUGUGUUUAAUUGGGUUUAGAUGUCAUCUAGGUGAGCAGAAAUGUGCUUGCUGCUUAGCGUCACUCUAUGCAUUUGACAGCUUGUGCUCAUCUAUUAAUCUGGGCAUGAUGCCGCCUGACUGCUUGCUGUGAGUGACUGCUUGCUGUGAUCAAAACUUGAACUUUUACGUCAGUAGCCGGUUCCAUGAUGAAAAAAUUGCAAAUAGAUGGUGGCCUACAAGAGGAUGAGUCUCGCCAGUGCCUCUGCGUUGAGUCACUACCUUGUAGGACCGGGUGGGAACUCAACUGCAUAGGAUCCGUGUCCCUACAAGAGAGGACUCAUGAGCCCAAGCAGGCCAGGCGGACCAGGAUCGGGUGCAGUAGCUACUACCACUGCAAGCUAAGCAGUGGUACUGUAGCAGCACGGGUCCACACGCAGGGAGAGGAAUGGAUGGUGUACUGUUCAACUGCACUGUUCACUACUACCAUGUGGUACUGUGCCGAUGAAUACAGUAUCAGAACCCAGUAGCAGCCGAUCCUGACCGUGCAUCACUGAAAGUGGACGGCUCAGAUCGCAUGCAGUGCUAACAUAGGGGUGUUUGGGAUCGAAUGUUUGGAACUGCUGAAUUUUCAGACACAAAGAAUCAUCGGUGCUAACCAUCAUGGCACGCUACUACUUCUUUUUUACAGUUGAAAUAGGCAUUAUGCCUGUUCAUUAAAAAAAUGAGCCCAACCAAGCCGGGAGUAAAGCCAGGGAUCCUCCAAUAUAUGAUCCUCAAAGAGAAACCUUAAAUUUAAACAUUUAUUUUGUUGGACGCUUCCUCAAGGAGAAAGCACCCUCCAAAAAUUGGGGUAUGCUGCUUAUUGUGGCGUGCACACGGUAUUCUUUAGUAAAAGGCGAAAGAAUAGUUCGCUUUGUGCUCACCACGCAGCUGCUUGAGUUCUAAUCCAUCAGCUGCCGCUCUACAAGACGUGUGAUCGCUGGGUAAUCACCUUGAGACUAAGCAGGGUGGGACUAACACGGGUUGCGUUGAGCUGCUUUGCCACAUUGCUAACACCCUCCCGCAUGGGCCGCAGAGCACAGAACUCCUGGCAUUAUUGGGUCAGCCUUGUAGCCCAAUAAAGAUGGAUUGGGCUGCUUUGCUGACUGAUCACACGUGGUGACGUAGAUCCGGGAAACGCUCUUCUUCUCACGGCGAUGAUUAGACAUCCGUCGCCUGCAGCCCUGCGGGAAGUUUUGGAGGUGUUUGAUAUCCCACUAAACUUUAUCACCUAUCACAUUGGAUAUUUGAAUACUAAUUAGUAGUAUUAAAUAUACUCUAAUUAUAAACUAAUUGCAUAGGUGAAGUCUAAUUCGCGAGACAAAUCUAUUAAACCUAAUUAGUUCAUGAUUUGACAAUAUGAUGCUACAGUAACCAUUACUAAUGAUGGAUUAAUUAGUUUUUAAUAGAUUUAUCUCGCGAAUUAAACUCCAUUUGUACAAUUAAUUUUAUAAUUAGCUCAUAUUUAGUCCUUCUAAUUAGCAUCCGAACAUGUGACUAUGCUAAAAUUUAGCAUCAUGUAUCCAAACAGCUAGCCUAUUUACUUUUCUAGCUGGUCUGUUUUUGCUAGGUGGGCACGUGCUAUUAAUAAUAGUCUCCUGACGGUCAGCAGCACGCAGCCGCAUCUUAACUUUUCUUUUUCUUUUUCUUUCUUGUUUGUUUUUUUUUCUGUUUUUUCUUUUUCGAAUUGUUUUACGGAAAUUCCUUCUCAAGUGUAUUCUAUUUCUCAUCUUGCACGGACCAAUUCUUUGUUUCUAUUUAUUUUUCCUUUUUAAGUAUAUAUAAUGCUUUUAUUUAUUUGUAUUUUCAUAAUUCAUGUUCCUUUCCUUAUUUUUCUAUACACUACGUCUCCUGUUGCUGUACAUCAAUAUUUGAUUUUUCUUUUUUCAUGUUCCAUUAUUACUUUAAUCCUUUAUUUCAUUUGAGUUUCCAUAUUCCCAAUCUAUUUUUUUUCAUUUUUACGUAUUUCCUCCUUUUGUAUUUUUUUGUUAGUUUUCAUUCUUCCCAUAGUUCCACAAUGUGUUUGUCCUAGUGCGCAAAUCUUUAUAUCAUGUGUUCAUACAUUCUUUGUAUAUGUUUAAUUUUUUAUUUAUUUUACAUUAUUCCAUACUUCUCCCAUGUCCAUAAUAUAUUUGUUGUAUAAUUUAGUUUGCCUGUAUAAAUAUUUUUUUAAUAAGGUUGUUAAAUUUGCUCCUUAUCUAUAGAAUUUUGUUCCUUGAGUUUGUAUAAUUUGUUCAGAUGAUUGGUUAUGGACUGAGUUUAUAUAAUUUGUUCCAUACAUAUAAUUUUUUGUUUCGUGAAUUCGUAUAAUUUGUUCUGAGUCUAUACAUUUUUAUUUUUUUAUAUAUAUUCAUAUAAUUUGUUCGAGGUGUGCAACUACUUUGUUCUGUGAGUUCGUAUAAUUGUUUCAGAGAUGUUGGGGGGAAAUAUUAAUGACCUCAUAAAGCCCAUGAAAACAACAAAUCAUAAAGGUCCAAGCCCGUCUAAGGCGAUAAAGACUGCCGUCGGCCCAACACGGGAGGAGAGAGCCACGCUCCGCCUCGCCCGACCCCGACGUCCCGGGAUCAGACGCUCCCGACCCCCCGCCGCAAGACUCCGCCUCGCCCGACCCAGGGCACAGGGGAUCGGACUCACCGGGGCCCACCAGACAAGUAUCCGCCUCGGGCGCGGGUCUCGUGGGUCCCCCUGUCGAUCUCGCCAUAAAUGCGUCACAGUUCUGACACGCAGAAAGGCGCUCGUGCCCCCGACGCAACCCGCCACAAGUACCCUUGCGCGGCCAGGCAACAGUGGCUGCGGCCUCCUCCGAUUCUCCUCCGAUUCGCUACAGGGCACUCAUGGCCUGCGUCGCCCGAAGCAGGAGGAAGCCUCGCCCGUUCUCGCGCCCCGCGCAUCCGGCGACAGAGACGUGACGUCUGCCUUCCGCGGGCCGUCCGCAAGAUGGCAGGAUCAGCCGCCUUCCCCAACGGACACAGGUGCCACGACGAAACACCAUCAUCACGCCUGGCGGCAACAGCCACCAAGGAGACCAUCGACAGGACUCAACGGCGGCCGCCCUCUUCCAGCGGACACGCCGGCGGGAGCCGAAGACCGGAGAGGAUGCCGGCGGCCUAGGGACUUGGUCCCUCCCCUUGUGUUGUAUCUUACUUGACUUAGUUUAUCUCUUUUACUUCUCCUCACACCCGGUUUCACUUGUAACCCCGGUGGCCUCCUUGCACUAUAAAAGGAGAACCGGGGGCCCUGAGACAGGGGGACUCUCAGAAGCCAACAGAACCCUCUCACUCUCAUUUAGAGCAUCAGUGCACACCCAAGAGACUUGGGACCAGCUCCCUCUCUCGCCCUCCUGUAACCCCUACUACAUACCCCGCGUGGGCAACACGAGCAACUCCCGAUACUAGACGUAGGGCUCUUCCUUGUCCGAACCAGUCUAAACCCCAUUUCUCCCACGCCACCAUCCAAAGCCUUACGCGCAUAAAAGAAAUUUACUAGUCGUAGUCUUGAUCCGCUAAUCUUGACAACAACAAGAGAUACAUAUCAUAAAAUUUUACCUUCAUAAAAGAUAUAUCCAUAAAUAAAUUUCAUCCAAAUAUAGUUGAGUGUUUAUUCUGAAGAUCUUGUUGUAAUAAGAUUAAUAGUGCAAUCGGAAUUUAAUUUAGAUGGUCGGUUUAAGAAUUAUGUUUUUUUUUAAAAUUUUGAACACCCCUUCACAUGUGGACGAUGUCAUUAAUUUCGUCUUUUCUACAUGCAUCCACGUGAAGUUUACUCCUUUCGAACGGGCUCCUUACCGCUUUUUAAGCCUAACUUGGCUCGCUUUACCGAUGCGGACAACUUUUUUAGCCUAAUAUAGGCCGUCCUACUGCUGUGAAUACAUGAUGUCUUAAUUAAUCCGGAAAACUCUUCGGAAAGGUAGGAAGGCAUUGAAUCUUCUAGUAUUUGAGAUUCAUGCAAGUAAUGAGUUCCAUAAGAUCUACAUCAAAUCUAAACCCUAUCUCCCUCCGCUGCUUGCGCCGCGGCCCCCUUGCCACGGUUGCCACCCCUCCCUCCCCUACCACCACCCCUCACGCGGGCCCCGCCACCCUCGCCGGAUUCAACUUUUUUUUGAAAAAAAUAUUGGUGCAACUUUUUUUUUCAAAAAAUGUUAGAUUCAACUUUUUCUAAAGAAAUGUUGGCUCAACUUUUUUCGAAUAAAUGUUGGUUCAACUUUGUUUUCCGAAGAAAUGUUGGUCCAACUUUUUUGAAAAAAAUGUUGGUCCAACUUUUUUGAAAAAAUGGGAAGAAGAUAGUUGAGAUGGAUCUUGGUGGGUUGGAAGAUAAGGCAGAAAUCUUACGAGUUUGAUUUCUCUGACAGCGAAGUGUUGCGGUCCGCUGAAUUUCACUCACGUGGCACGAAAAUUUCAUGGAAAAGCCGUGCUUUUUGUUCGUUUGUAUGAAGACAAAAAGCAAUGACAGAACUCACCACUGAUGGACGUCUGCAUGUGCACUGUGACCUUUGAGACAAACUCUUGGACCUAAUAACCAUGCAAGACUAAAAUGAUCGAUCAGUAAUUCAGAAUGAUACGGAGCACUCUGUGCUCUUCUGUACCGGCAAAGCAGUGCAAUGCGUGUCUUUUAGCACUAGUCAAGGACACGUCAUGACUUGGCACACUAGCAGAGUAUGACCAUGUGAAUCAGAGUGUGUUUCUUUUUUGGCAAACCAAUUGUUCUUCGAGAUUCACGGAGCCAAGGGCCAACGAAGGAAAAAAAUUGCAAAAAGAUGGUGGUCUGCCAGAGAGGGCGCAUGGGCCUAAGCGGGACUGAAGCGCAGCGGCCCGUUAUCCUUCCACCGUUGGAAGCGGGCGGUAUUCGCUGCUCUGUGAAGCCAGCCUCACGCAUUGCCCGCCGCUCUAGGUGCCGGGACGCCAAGGCCUUCGCCGAAGCACCCACGGCCCACUACGCAACUUGGAACGGGCGGGCCGCAGAUUGCGGCAGCAGACCCAGGCCCAAGCGCCACAAUUGGCAUCCGCACCACCUUAAUGCCCCCGCUCGGGUUACAAGCAGGCGCUAGCUGCUCGGCGAGUGAGGCGCGG